GUGUAAAAUAUGACAGCUUAGUUGCUUCAUUACAUAGUUAAGGGUGGAGAGCAAAUUGUAUAUUUUCUAACAUGAAGGCAAAGUGUUACUUGGGUUCUAAUUCAGGGGACCAAAAUGUAAUUAAUUCUUCUUUUUUUUUUUUCACAAACCCCAUAGGCAAGGAAGGGAUGCCAAUCCUUUAUUUUAUUAAAUAGCAAAAAUUAAAAUAGGAGAGGAACAUAAAUCUUACCUCCAUUACACGAUCCAACAUAAAACUAUAGAUAAGUACUUCUUCCUUAUAUGAGAUGAUCUAAAAGACAGAAAAUCACUAGCAUCUAAAUUAACUAAUGCUAAAAUUGAACUAGGUAGUUGAGAUUGACCGAAAAGAUGUUGGCUCGACAACAUAACAGAAGCUAACCUAUUAGCUAUAGAAUUAGCCUACUGAAAAUAUGCUUGAUUGUACCCCCAACAAAUGAAAGCAAUUGACAAAUUCAGGAUAAAGUACUACAAACAGACAAACUGCACAUUGCUUGCAAAAGUAAAAGCUUUGCCUACAUCUCUAAAUCCACCUUAACAAGGGUAUUAGAAAAACCCUUAUCAAGGCAUAGCUGAAGACCAAAGAGCAAAGUGUUUGCCUCCAUAGUCUGAAUCUCCAUCUUGUCAAACUCUUUGUAAAAAGUAAAAGAAAACCUUCGCUGAAUUAACUAAGGAUCUAUUUGGGUUGCAUGUUUUACAAAACAAAAAAUAAACAUAGUGUUUCUUUAACAAAAUCUAUAAUAGCCUCCCAAAAUAAACUUCGAGAAAACAUCACAAUCCUAUAACAUUACCACCCAUUUUUUCUCUAACAGCACUCUUCAUCACUUUCUUACUCUUCUUCCACCACUGCUCGAUCUCUCCUUCUUUCCUCCACUACUGUACCCAUUUUGCACCACUACCUCUCGUCCCAUAACCCCUUCCAUCACCCACAUUCCCUAUUCCCCUACCCUUUCCUCUUCUCCCACCGCCUCCCUCUAUCUAUUCCUUCCUAUAGCUCACACACUACUUUUCAACUGAUCUAGUCACACAUAUUUGGUUGUACACGACUAGAUCUGGUGAAUUGCAAGGUAAGGGAGAAAAAAGGUAAAGAGGUAAGGAGAUAGGAAAAGAAGACUAAGGUGGGAAGGGGAGAGGUAAAGGAAAAAGGUGUUAAGAAGAGGAGAGAUGGUAGAAAGAGAGGGUUCUUAUGUGUGGUUGGGGAUAAUGGGGAAGGAAGAGGCUAUGGUGUUAAGGGAGAGGUGAAAAGAAGGAGAGAAGGGUGAUAGAAGAGAAGAAGGCGAUGGAGGUUGGUGAGUGUCAGGAUGAAGGGGAAGUGGGGAGUCAAAAAGGGAAGUGGGGAGUCAAAAAAUUAGCAGUUUUCAAGACAACAUUAAAAAUGCUUCAAUAACAUCCAAUCUAUCUUGGCUUUCACGCACAUAACAUACAACCACAAUUUUUCUAAAAAGAAGAAACCUUAAAAAUACCUAAUUCAAACAAACACCAAUAUGGUAGAGCUAACAUAUUUUUCACAAAUUGUAACACUCCAAACUUUGAACACAUAGGUUUACCACCAAAGAAAUAUUCUUGGUAUAGUAAAGUCCCUAAAUCGAAAAGAUACAUUAAUGCCAGGGAAAUACAAUUGCUUGACAAGUGAAUCUAACAAGAAUUGUACGACUUGAGAGUGAAUGUGACAAAGUUUGGCCAAUUUGUGAGGACUAAAUACCUCUAAAAGAUGUGUAGUUGAAAUACAAAGAAUGUAGAAAUAAAAAAACCCAAUACAACCUAUUUUUGUUAUAAUUUCUCUUAUGAGCAAACUCUACUAACUAGACUUCUCAAGAUUAAACCCUAAGCUAGCAACUCAGAAUAUGUUCUUUGCAUGAAAAGUUGACAUUUUACCUAUAAGAAAUUUGGCCCUGAAAUCAUUUUUAUUGAAUCCAAAUGGCAAGUGCUUUCUUAUUUAUAGGUAAUAUCUUAAGUAAUUUGCUUAAACAAUAUUACAUAGAAGUAAGUAUUGAAUGUUGACAACCUAAACUUCUUGUAGUUUGAACAUAAUUUUGCAAAAUCUAAGGACCAACCUAUAAUAACUAAAAAUUUGCCACGUUCCUUCUCAUAAUAACAUGUGUCUACCCACGUAUCCACAAUUGACACAAUUUGUGACAUAUGUAACUCAAAAAGUGACACGUGUCAAAAAAUUACCAAAUAUUGUUGAGGAGGUUUUAAAUUAGUGACUAUGGUUGAGAUCUUAGAAUUUAAAGGCCUUGGGUUCUAAAUCCCUCUUUCCCCUCCCCACUUCAUAAAUCCCACUUCUCUCAUGAUAGAAAAAAUUUUAAAAGAAAUGACACGUGUCUUAAAUUUAGCAACUUCCAUGCUGACUUACCCACUACCCCAAUACGUGUCAUGCUCAAGUUAGUUGAAGUGCUGGCUCAUCAUUUUCAUGAAAGCUUAUAAAUAGAAAUAGGACUUUUCUCUUUAGUUAUACAUCAAAAAUUUGAAAGCCACCCAUUUCUAUUCGAACGAGAGGUUAAGAAAGCAUAGAAAAAUCGAGGUAAAAGAAAAGUAAAGAGAACUUUACAAGAUACGACAAAGGACAUAGCAAUGAGAUAGUGUUGAGUGGAGGUUAAGCUAACCUAAAUUAAGAAAAUCCAGAUGAGUGUCCACUACAUUCAUAUAGUGAUAGUGAUAUUAUUGUAUUCAUGUAGUUCUUAUAUAAAAGCUCUCUUGUUAUAUAUUGAGCAUAUAGUCACAAAUUUGCACUCAUAGUAGCGGUCAUAUAGUCUCAUGCUAAAAUCGAACCUAAGUGAAAUUAAUGACUGUUACUCUUGAGUAUUUGAACACUACUAUAGUGUAUGCUCUUGUUUUGAUAGUUGAUCUCUCAAGAAGAAUGUGACAGCCCCACCUCCCCCUAAGGCGAACCAGAGGGUUCGGCGGGCCGCCUGCCCAGCUCUCGCCGGGACUCAGUCGCUCACUACAGUCCUCAAACAAAUUACGAGAUAAAUCUCAAAUAUACAUCACAUGGUCCACAAAUAUACAUCCAAGUCUCCAAUAAUUACAUGUCAUAAACGAAGCGGAAACGAUUCUCAACUAUACAUAAAAUGAUUCCAAAUCCAAAUUGUACAAGAUAUAGGCCAUCUAUUCACGUGAAUAAGCACAACAAGUCCUUCCUUCGCCUUGAGCCCUGUGGAGGGGAAUAAAAUAUUUUUGGGGUGAGCUAGAAGCUCAGCGAGUAACCAGAAAAAUCAGUAAUCAAAUCGGUUUCACAAUAGUUCAUUACAAUAGUUCAUUUCAAUAACAUCAUAAAUCAAUGAUGUCAUAAAUCCAUGAUGGAGUAACAAUAAUUCAAGAAACAUUUACAAUGGAAAGCGAUAGUAACAUUCAUUAAAAGGAUACGGGCCCACAUGGAGCUAUUUGUUCGUUUAUUCGUUCCCCGGACAUUUCCCUUAUUCCUCCAAUCAUUUAAAAAAUAUUUUUGUAAGUAGAAUCCCUCGUUCAUCCUUUUGUUCGUUCAUCCCUUUUCCGGACGUUGGCCGGACUCCACCCAUCCGACCAUUGGCCGGACUCCACCCAUCCGGACGUAGCCGGACUACAAGGUAAUACUCGAGUAUACCAAAUUCAUCCAGGGUCACCAUAUCGCCCGACCGAGUCCGCUUCUGGCUCGAGUCAAUCGGUAACGAAGGGCAGUAGCCAGUUCAGCCAAACGGCUUACAUUCAUGCGCAACUAGCAUUUAAUCAUUAAUCAUUGAUUUUAUUUAGGUCGAGUGCGAUAAAGUACACACUCGCCUAGAAAACUCGUUUUAACAAUCAUUGAAAGCACUUAACACAUUAUCAAUCAAUAAUAACAAGCCAAUAAGUCAAGAAAUACAGCAAACAAGGAACACUCAUAUGCAAGUAUGCAUGAUAUGCAAGAAAACAGUUCAAAAGUAACUUUGGAAACAGGUCAAAAGUAAAUAAGACAAGAAAACAGUUCAAAAGUAACUUUGGAAACAGUUCAAAAGUAAAUAAUGCAGGAAACGGUUCAUAAUUAACUUUAGAAAUAGUUUGAAGUCACUCACCUCCAUGGCUCAGAAACCAUCCAUCAUAUAUCAUUGUCUUGCUCAAAUCCAAGUCUUAGAUCACAAACUCAAGGCAAACAAGUCCUUUAAAAGUUCGGACAACACUUCCCCUAAAUUUGCUAACUUUUCCAGCCAUCAUGGCUUCAUUAUUUCCUCAGCCAAUCCCAAAGGUACACACACAACAACAAGUUCAUCCAAUAGUCAUUCAGCAAGUUCCAAGUAGUACUAGUACAAGUCAAACUAGGGAAAAGUCCGGAAAUGAAAGUUAAGCUCAAAACCAGAAAAACAGCUUUUGACGUCAUUUUGCGGUAAUGGCACCAAAGGCGUUACGAUUGUCGGAUGAAGGUGCAAGAUACACCGUUUCGAAGCUAAGAGAUAGGGCUACAAUAUUACAGAAGGUCACUCAACCCAUUUUCGAGUGUAACCAGGUCAAAAAUGCAAGAUACUAUACCAGAAUCACAAAAAUAGAUUCACAGAACGCAUUCUAGCGGAAAUAUCAUAACUCAGGCUCUCCAAGUCCAAAUCCAGAAAUUCCAAAACCAUAUGAAAGCUAAGAAAAAGGGAUACAUUUCAUCAGAAGACCUCAACAACCAAUUUGGAAGAAAUUCCAGCCAAAACAACCAAUUACAGGCGCAAUUCUUACAUUCGGGUAAAACCAGAACAGCAAUAGUAUUUUCGACGUUUCUCAAGCUACGCUGCUCCGAUUGACCUGAAAUUUUGCAGACACCUCUAAAAUAUCAUUCCCUACAACUUUCAUGUUUUAAUCCAAGGCCAAUUCGGCCUCUAACUAGGAGCUAAAAAUUCGGGCAGAAUGUUCCUUCACAAAACCUAAUUUUCUGAAAUUUCUUCCAAAACAGAAAUUGAUUGCAAUUGUCCACUUUUUCCACCUUCUAGAAUCAUUAUAUACCAUUUCCAAUCAUCAUAGAUAGCCACACAAAUGCAUUGCUUAUAUUAAAACAGAAAAAUCCCCAAAAAUAAUAAAACUUCAUCACUUCAACCACAAAUCAAGAAAUAAUCCAUAAAAGUGCAUCUUAUACCACCACCAAUCAUGAAUUGAACAUCAUUAGAGGAAGGAGAGGGGUCCUUCACAACUCACCUUAGCAAUACAAGAAAGAGAGUAACUAGUCACCUUAGCUUUUCAAACAACUUCACAACCAAGCUCAACUCCACCAAACUAAGAGGUUUUAUGGAGUAAUUGGAAGAUUAAUCGGUUUAAUUGAAAGAUUGGGCAAGAUUGGAGACUAGAAAAUUGAGAGCUUUUCCUUCCUUUUUGCUUGAUAAGGGCCGGCCAAGAAGCUUGUAAAAAUGAAGCUUAUUUUGGUCAAUUUUUUGGUAUUUAUUUGGUAAAGGUAAAGGUAAAGUUAAAUGGUCAAAGUCAAGAGUAAAUUGGAUGGUGACACUUGUCACCUUUAGGUUUAAAACUUAUUUUUUUGUCUCUCCAAUACAAAUAUCUUAACACUUUGUACAAUAAUAUCACUUAAUACAAAAUUCCAACAAGUUGUCAAAAAUAUAAUGCAUUUACCGCACUUGCGGGUCCCACGUUCAAAAUACGCUUUUAAUUUCUCAAAAACUAACCGAUACUAGAAAAAUCAUUUUAAAACUAUCUUUGCUCAUAAACUUUAUCUGGGAAAUUUUUCUAAUAAAUAAAAUGUAGAAAAGGCGGGCGAUUCAAUAAAAUAAACCCUAAAAAAUUAGAAAAUUUUCGGGUUCUCACACUCAUACUUUUCGGGGCGUCACAAAGAACACACUUUUUGACCUUAUUAUAUUGUAAACAUAGUUAUUUACUUGUCUAACAUACUAUUGUUUUAUGGAUACAGAUGUGUACUUUGUCACACCCAAAAGUUCAUUUGCUUGUCUAUCCUAUUAUUAUUUUCAUGAAUUUGGAUGUGUACUUUAUCAUGCCAACAUGUAAUUGAUUGAAUCAACUCACAAGCAUAAUGAAUUAUUCCCGAUUGUCUUCUUUAUCACACCAGAAAGUCUUCAUUACUUGCCUUGCCAAAGAAUUGCAUCGUGGUUUCUUGUGCUUAAUUGUACUACUUGUGUACUUUACCGUGUUGGGACUAGUGUUUAUGCUAGUAGCAUUUCUUAAUCUGUCGAGCAAACAAAAAGUGAUGUAGAAUGUCAUUUCACACACUAGUUUGCAAUCUACUACUUGGAUAUCAGAUUGUCCAUUUAUUGGGUUGAGAGUAAAAGGCAUUUUUAGUAUUGACCUAAGUAAUUUAAAGUACGAUGUUGAACUCAUGAUAGUGGUAUAAGAUAGAACCAGGUCAUCACCAACAAUCUGUGAUGUAUCUUUUUAUUGUAUUCUAUAUAUAUGUUCGUAAAAAACUUAAUUGUACUUGCACACAUGGAUCUCACUAAUCUGUUAAGUUCACACCAAAAUAGAAAUAUUUUUUUUAGGAUCGAAGUGCUCAAGAUACGCAUGGAGCUAGAGCUUGUCCCAGUAUAGUAAUAAUAGUUGAGUGCAUUGAAGAUGUAUAAAAUCUAGCAAAUCUAAGUAGAAUUUAAUUUUUGCUUCAUAAUGAUGUAUGGUCUUCUUCAAGGCAUAUAUUCUAAGCUGUAAAAAUGCCUUUUCAAUAAAUAAAAGCUAUUUUUAAUCUUAAUACUAGUUAUUGAGUGAGUCCUGGUGCGAGUUAGGCAACUCACCAUCACUGAAAUCUUAGGGGAUAGAGUUGGGUGUGACACAAACUCCAAUACAAGUGAAUGGGAGGUCUCUAGUUGAAUUCUCAACCCCUUCCCUUUCUCUCCUUUCCAUUGUAAGAUUUGGAAUUUCCUCUUUAAAAAAAUUAUGAUAUUCAAAAGAUUGAUAGAAGCUUUGCCUAAUGUCUUUUGGGAUCGCAUGAAACUCAUGCCCAACAGAGCAUUCAAAUUAUUGCCCAACUUUUGAUGGUUAGGUGAAACUAAGAUCUUCUAUUUGAGAUGGAAUGAACAUAUAUUUGACAAUUUGUAACACUACAUGGAUAACUAUCAAUAUUUUAAAAGACAUUUUUGGGGCAACUCUUACCUCGGGGUGGGUUGUUCCUCAAAUGCCCUAUGGCAAUUGAAUGGAUGUAAGUGUUGUUGGGUCAUUCCUCACAUUUGGGUAUUUGAGGUAGCCCUUUUCCCUCCCCCCAAGUUUCAACCAAAUUUUUUAAUUUUCUUUUUGAUGACUUUGUUUUCUAUAUUCUUUUUUCCUCUUUUUCUUCAUGUUAAGAUAUGGUCAUUCUAUGAUAACAUGACUAGGUUAGUAAUGUACAAAUUAGACUUUGGAUUUUGAUACUUCAUGGUUUUGUUUUCAAAGGGACAUAAGUUGUAGGUUUUAACAAUUGAGCAUUAACCUCAUAAUAUGGAUACUUUCACGGUCAUAAAAUCUCAUAAUUCCUAGCAAAAAUAUAUCAAAAUUCAAGAUUACAAGUUUAUCCUUAAAUCUAUCAUCCAAGACUUAAUUGCUUAAGUAUUUUAUAUUUUUAUUUAAAUGUGAUAUUUAUUUGGCAUUAUUCUAUUAAUACUUGUGAACUGAGUUUCUUUGAAACAAUUAAAAGUUGUAUUUGUUGAAUUAUGAUUUUAUUUGUUACCAGCUAUAGUUUUUUUGCAUUUUUCUUAAUUUUAUCAAAGUUGUAUGUAUUUACAAAUAUUUAAAUAAAUAAAAUUUUGACGCUUAUGCCUCGUGUCUCUGGUGAAAGGGGCCUCACAAGUUCCAUUUCUAGCAAGUUCAUGACCAUGAUUAAAAGGAAUUACAACAGCUGUAACAAAGGAAUCUGAGGGAACUGCAGAUAAAUGCAACACUGAAGCCAAAGGGAAAGCAUCAAUGGAAUUCAAGUCAGCUACUGAAGAGGCUCGACUUACGGGCAUAAUUGAAAUUGAAGGAACGUCAAUAGCUGCAAUGGAACAUUCUGGAGCACCUGAGCAAAAUGAUGCAGUUGCCGACGCUUACGCGGUCAAGGAGGGAAAAAAAACAGCAGCUUCAAAAACGGAUGCACAUCCACAGUCGGUUGCUGAUGUCGCCAUGCAUGUCCAUAAGGAGCAUUCGGUAGUGGAAGACCAAUUGACAGUUUGCUAUGGAAAUGAUUGUGAGGGGCCACAAAGUCUCAGGAAACAUAACGUGGGAAUGGUUCAGCAUCAAAUGAUCGACACCACAAGCACAAUUAAUCAACUGCCCGACAAUUCCAAUGGGAAUAAUUCAGCGGGGCCCCAGCUUAUUGAGGAGCAUAACUUGGGAUUAGUUUAUAAUGAAAGGUCCGACACCACUGACAUAGAUAAUCUUUAUGUCGACUUGCGUGGAGCUGAUGAUGAAGAUUCCAAAUCCAAUGCGGCUGAUGAAGUAGCUUUGCCAACUAACGCAGGAAAUUUAUCUCCGAGAUUGGUUAUACCACGUGAGAAGUCGGCUGAGCCAUCAAUACGCACUCUAAACAUUGACCAAUCUGUAGGUGUUCAAAUGGAUUGCCGACAAGAUCGUGUUAAGGGUGUGCGAGCUGGCUUCCCAUCUGACAGACAGCUACGUUCAGCGACAUCAUCUCAAAACUCUUUCCAGGUUUUUUCUCAUGAUUAGUGGUUUAUUUUGGAAUAUCAGAGGGGUUGCAAAAGCCCCUAAUCUAAGAAGAUUGAUAAAUUUAGUUCGUGCUCAUCAUUUGAAGUUUGUUGUCAUUUCUGAACCGAAGUUAGACGUGUCCAAAAUUGAGUCCAUUCGUCUACGAUUAUUAUUUGAUUAUUCCUUUGUUAACUUAUCGGGUGAUAUUUGGAUAUUCUAUAGUAGCCCUUUUGUGUGUUCCAUUAUUGGUAGUUCGGAUCAGCAUAUUUCCAUACAUGUUCAAAGUCAAUUGUUUUCUUCUCCAAUCAUCAUGUCUUUUGUCCAUGCUAAAUGUUCAUUAGAGGAGCGGUGUGGCUUAUGGUGUUCAUUAUUAAAUGACAAGCCUGUUUCACUACCUUGGUGUAUUGGGGGUGACUUUAAUGUUAUUUUAGCCCCUCACGAAAAAUGAGGUGGACGUCCGUUUGCUAUAGCGGAAGGAGCGGAUUUCAUGUCUUUUAUGGAAGAGGCAGGGGUUUUGGAUGUUGGCUUUUCAGGAGCUAGUUUCACGUGGUCUAAUAAUCGGAGAGGUAGAGCUCAGGUUUCAAAGAGAUUAGAUAGAUUUUUAAUUAAUGGGUCUUGUUUGGAUCUCUCAGAUGUGAUUUCUGUACUCCAUCUGCCAAGACAUCCCCGGAUCAUGCACCAUUGAAAAUUACUUUUUCUGAUCGAUCAGACAAUAGUCCACGACCUUUCAGAUUUUUGAAUGUCUGGACGAGCAAACCAGAACUAUUGGAUGUGAUUCGACAGGCUUGGAAUCAAGAUGUGAGUGGAUCUCCGCUACGUGUUUUGUGCUCUAAAUUAUUGGCAACGAGGAGGGCUAUUCAUACAUGGAACAAGCAACAUUUUGGGAAUAUAUUUGAUGCUGUACGUUCUGCGAAAGUGGUGGUCCAACAAGCAGAAGAAUCGAUGGAUCAAUAUGCAUCAGAGGAAUCUCAGGUUGAGCUCAGUAAGGCUCAGGCAGAGUUACGGAAUGCAUUGUCAAUAGAAGAGCAAUUUUGGAGCCAAAAAGCCAGGGCAAAAUGGCUUAAAGAGGGAGAUCGCAAUUCAAAAUAUUUCCAUGCGGUUGUAAGACAGAGACGAAUUAAAGGAAUGAUACACCGAAUCAAAAAGUCAAACGGAGUUUGGGUGGACACCAAUGUUGACAUAGCAACUGAGGCCAUAUCAUAUUUUUCUGAUCUCUUCACUGGAUAUCUUGAGUCAUCUUCUGAUAUGCGACAUAUGAUUCCGCACAUGAUAUCGGAAGAGGAAAACAGAAAAUUGGAAGAAAUGCCUUCGAUUGAAGAGAUUCAUCGAGUCCUGAAGUCAAUGGAUGGAGAUAGUGCUGCUGGCCCCGAUGGCUUCACAGGCAAAUUUUUUACAUUCGCCUGGGAAAUUAUUGCCCAAGAUGUUUACAAGGCAAUUCUCAGCUUUUUCUGUGGGGCAGAGUUACCUCGUUUUAUCACCUCUACCUCAAUUGUAUUAAUUCCAAAAAAACCAAAUCCUCAGGAGUUUUCUCAUUAUAGGCCAAUCAGUCUGUGUAACUUCUUCAACAAGUUGCUAUCCAGGAUCUUAGCUGAUAGAGUGGCUUCUCUAUUGCCCAAAAUUAUUUCGCCCCAGCAGACAGGCUUUGUGAAGGGCCGUAAUAUAACAGAAAAUUUUUUGCUAGCACAGGAGGUAGUGUCGGGUAUUGGAAAAAAAACUAGAGGUGGUAAUGUGGUAAUGAAGCUGGACAUGUCUAAGGCAUAUGACCGAGUGGCAUGGGAUCAUAUCAUUGGUGUUCUCAGGAGAUUUGGCUUUGGAGAAAGAUUCAUUGAUUUGGUUUGGCGAUUGAUCUCCAAUGUCUGGUUUUCUAUCAUUAUAAAUGGGGCAUCGCAUGGUUUCUUUAAAUCUACACGAGGCCUACGUCAGGGUGAUCCAUUAUCGCCUGCUUUAUUCAUUAUAGGAGCUGAGGUGUUAUCUAGAGGAUUGAAUAAUCUUGUUAUGCAAUCGGGGUUUGUGGGUUUCAAAGUCCCCUUGGCAUGUCCUACUAUAACUCAUUUGGGUUUUGCGAAUGAUAUUCUAAUUUUUUCAAAUGGAUCCUCUUAUUCUCUAAAGCUUAUCAUGCAGGUGCUAGAUGCGUAUCAAAGGUGUUCUGGACAAUUGAUAAAUGUGCUGAAAAGUUGUUACUUAGUACAUCCCUCGAUAUCACCGGCAAGAAGAAGGGUGAUUGAACGUAUCACCAAAUUUAAUUAUCAACCAUUUUCGAUACGUUAUUUGGGAUUCCCCCUCUACUUUGGCAGAUGUAAAUCAUCAUAUUUUGGGGAAGUUUGCCAAUCUAUCCUAGGGAGAAUAAGGUCAUGGAAAUCAAGGAUGCUUUCUCUUGGAGGCAAAAUAGUUCUAAUCAAACAUGUGUUGGCAACGAUGCCAGUACAUCUGUUGUCAGCAGCGGUUAUCCCUGGUAAGGUAUUUAGAACUAUAGAAAAAGCCUUCUCGACCUUCCUAUGGGGGUCAUCCUCCGAGGAGUCUAAAUUUCACUGGAUACGGUGGUCUCAGAUGUGCUAUCCGGUUGAUGAGGGAGGAGUUGGUUUCCGGAGGUUACAGGACAUCUACACAGCAUUCUCAUUCAAGCUUUGGUGGAACUUCAGAAAGGGAUACUCGUUGUGGGCUUCGUUCAUGAAAGCUAAGUAUUGUAGACUACUACAUCCUUGUCAGGUAGAAAUCAGGUCAAUGGACUCCGCAAUCUGGAGAAGGAUGGUCAAUGUAAGUCGACAAGUGGAGCUAUCUAUGCUAUGGGAUAUAAAAAAUGGAGCUUGUCAUUUUUGGUACGACAAUUGGUUGGGAGGGGGUGCCUUGUUUCUUCGUACGACGGCUGUCUCUAAUUUGUCGUUUGGUGAUUUUAUCAUCAAUGGACACUGGGAUGUGAUUAGAUUAUAUCAGACAUUGCCGACGGAUCUGGUUCCCUCUAUUUUAGAGCAUCCAGUCCCGGAAGACUGGGGUGAAGCUGAAGUCAUUUGGAUGUCCACAACAUCUGGAAACUUCUCUCUAGCUUCGGCAUUCCGGGAUAUUAGGCAAGCACGAAACAAGUCUAUGGUUUUUGAUAGCAUUUGGCAUCCUCAGAUCCCACUCAAAAUUUCAUUCUUCAUGUUAAGAUUGUUGCUGGAAAGGCUGCCUUUACCGGAUAGGUUAUGUAAACUUGGUUUACAUUUACCAUCAAAGUGUUUCUGCUGCGAUUCCGCAUCUGAGGAGUCAAUUGAACAUUUAUUUUCCAAAGGCCAUAUAGCUUCAACAGUUUGGAAUUACUUUGGAGCUUCAUGUGGAUUGACUUUUCCAGGCUCUUCUUUACGCUCCCGUAUAGUGGGUUGGUGGUUGCACUCAUAUGAUUCAGAGAUACAGCGAUUCAUUGGACGCAUUCUUCCUAGUAUAGUAUGUUGGCAAAUUUGGAAAGCAAGAAAUAAAGCAUUUUUUGAGGAUGUCCAUAUGAGAUCGCCCGCCAUUUGUGUUGCCAUUUCCUUGGAAAUCCAUACCAUUGUGGAAAUUUAUUUCAGACAAGUUUUCAAGGCUCAUUCAUUCUAUCAUUUGUAUGAUUGGCCGUAUUCAUCUCACACUUAUGUCACGUACAAACUUGUUUGUUGGGAACCAAAGGAAACCGGUCAGUUUACACUAAAUACCGAUGGCUGUUCUAAGGGUAAUCCAGGAUUGGGUGGAGGAGGUGGGGUUCUUCGGGAUUCACAUGGCAUUCCUUUGAUUGGUUUUUCCGCAUAUCUUGGAGAAACUACAUGUCUAAGUGCAGAGGCCCGGGCUCUUCUUAUUGGCAUUCAAACAUGCAUACAUUGGGGUUUUGAGAAUCUCUAUAUUCAAUCGGAUUCUUUGGUAUUAAUUGGAAUUCUUCAGAAGCGUAUUCACUGCCCUUGGAAGAUUCGACGAGAGAUUAGGCAUAUUUGGCAGUUCGUGGAAGAUCCUGAUCGUUUUUCACAUUGUUAUAGGGAAGCUAACACAGUCGCUGAUGCAUUGUCCAAUGUGGGCGUCUCUCAUCCAGAGCAUCAACUCAAGUUAUACGACUCCUUCCACAUGUUCCCAACUAUGGCUCGUGGAGCAAUUCGCCUCGUUAGAUUAGGGAUGCCUUCAAUUCGGAAAAUUAAGCGUAUGAAGGGCUGAGGAUAAUGGAGAAUUGGAGCUAUUUUGCUUUUCAACUAAGCACCAAACAUUUCUGGUUCAUUUGUUGUCUUUAUAGUUCAAUCCUGUACUUCAAAAUGGUGUUUCUUUGUGUGUAACAAUUAUUCUCAUCAAUAAAAGACUACAAAUUUAUUAAAAAAAAAAAUUAAAAGGUACACAUGGACGGAUGAGAUGAUAACACAGGACCACUUAAACGAGCUUCCAAAACUACGUCAUUUUGGCAUUUAAAAAGAAAACAAAAAAUAAAGCUAAAAUCUAGAACACAUUUUGUAUUCCAUUUAGCUCUGUACAUAACAUUUCCAUUUUAUUUAUGUGAUACUAACUACCUCAAAAAUUUUUAGAGAAAAUGGACAAAAAAAUCCUAGUUCCAAUCAAGAGAGAUAUUUCUCUAUUUCUCAAUCCUAGUUCCAAUCAAGAGAGAUAUUUCUCUAUUUCUCUUUCCAUUGCUUCCCUUUUCCUCUCUCCGGUGGAGUGUAUAAGAAACUAUGAAGGGAAAAAAUUGUCACUUCCUGCACCUCAUCUCUCUCUCCCUUGGAGUGUUUAAGAAUGGAAAAGAAUCAAAAUUUGGAUAGAAAAUUUUUUUUGAUGAUAGUGUUUUAAAAAGGUUGUUGCAACUCCAAAUUGGUGAAAAUUUAUUUGGCUGCCUAUUGUCUUCUUGAAAAUGGUUAUAAUGAGGCUUGUGAGAUCCCAAGGUUAUUGCAUGGGAUUUAAAAUCAAAAAAUGAAAUUUACUGUUUAGCCAUUUUUCUGUCAAAAUUAGAUCAUUCCACUAAAAGGUUACUACAAGGAUUUAAAAUCAAAAAUGAAAUUUACAAUUUUACCCUUUAUUUUUUGGAAACCUUACUCUGGCCUCACAACUUUGGUUUUUUUUUUUUUUGCAUCGAGUUUUUUUGUCCCUAAACUUCAUCCAUGUUUAAUUUUGAUAUGAUAAUUGCAAUUAAAUAGCUUUAAUAUGCUUUCAGUCUUUUAAUUCCAGGAUUUGAUAAUGGCACCUUUACCUCUUUAUGCAUGUAGUAAGUCCUAAAUAGGGAAACUUUGAGCCAACACUUUAAAAGGAGAUACCUUUCUUACUUUUACAUUCAAUUAUGGACUCUUAUAUGUCUAUGUACUUUCAGUUGUUUUAAUUUCGUAGUUUGCCAUCGCAUUACCUUCUUAGUCUUAAUUUGAUAAAAAAUUUGCUUGUUUAUUUUACUUUAAUUUUUAUCAAAUUGUAUUUAAUUAAUUAAAUAAUAUAGUUAGGUUCGUUUUUUUAUUUGUUCUCCCCUCGUUAGAUUGUAGUUAAGACCCCAUAUGUAACUAGAUAGAUUUAUUUUUCAUCAUUCCUACUUUAAAUUGUAGAUAUGUCCCCCAUUGUAAUAGAUAGAUAUUGUAUGUUUUAUGUUGCUUAUGUGUCUAUGCCUUUUAUUUAUCUUCUUAGGAUUUUGCAUCUAAAUAUCAUGCUUAUAUAUGAUGUGCUCUAUUUGCACUUAUGUAUUUACUCAAGAGAAGUGAUAUAAUAUAUCUGAAUGUUGGAGACACUACACUUGAGCAUACACAAGAUAUUCACUUGGAAGAAGCACAUAUACGGGAUAUCGGAUUUUCAUGGAGUGCUACACCAUAUCUCGAUAUAGUUACACCAUAACAUUGACACGUUACAUGCAAUUAUUUAAACAUGGAUAGAGUAUUUCAGUAUGAUAAAUUUCAAAUGGUGCAUUUGAAUAUGUUGCAUGGAACCACAACCAUUGGAACAAUAAUGCAUCCUUGACUAUAUUUCAAUUGCAAACUGCCGAUCAAAUUAUUGUUUAUAUGUCUACAGCAUACACAUUUAAAAAGAGUAUAAGUUCAAUAUGUGAAUUGUGUACACAUUUUGAUUUUCUUCAUAGAUUUGGUUUAAAAUAUUAUCUAUUGGAAUUUGCCAAAAUCAUAAUUGACUUGGGAGAACUUAAGAUAUAGAGGAUAUUGAACUUAGGAGAAGAGUGACACUACAUUUCACUAUAGUUGUAUCGUCAUCUCGACAUGUUACACCCAUUUCUUAAGCACUAAUAGUUCAUUCCAAUGUGACAAAUUUCAAUUGAUACAUUCAGAUUCGGCGCAAGGGCACCACAAGCAUUGGACUAACAAUGCAUGCUUGCCAUAUUUGGAUUCCUAAUUACUAGUCAAAUUAUAACUUAUACAUCUAUAGCCCAAAUAUAUUUAAAGAGACUAGAAAUUCAAUGUGUAAAUUGUGUACACAUUCUGAUUUCUACAUAGGCUGGGUUUAAAAUGUCACAUCAUGGUCGACUUGGGACAAUCUCAUGCACUAAAUAUUGAAUUUGGGAGAAGCAUCAUACUACAGUUCAGUAAAGUUAUACUAUACAGUUUACAUAUUACACAAAAUUUCUUAAGCAUAAAUACAUCAUUUUGGUGUGGUAAACUUCAAUCGGUGAAUUUAACGAUGCGGGAUGCAGAAACAUUGAGCAUAUAUGGGCUAACUACCUUAAAAAGAGCACAUGCACAUGAUAUCAAAUUCAAGAGGGAGUUACACCAUAUUUCAGAAACAUUACACAAUAGAGUUGACAUAUUACACCAAAUUUCUUAAGUGGGAAUAGACUAUUCCAAUGUAGCAAAUUUCAAUUAAUGCAUUCGACGAUGUGGGAGAACCACAAGCAUAUCACAAAUGUUUAUGCAUAUUGUAACUUAUGUAUAUGUAGUAUAUAAACAUUUAAAUGGACUAUAGUUUUAAAUUGUAAAUUGUGCACACAUUUAUAUCUAUUCAUAAACUAGGUUCAAAUUAUUAUUCGUUGAAAUGUAGCAAAAUCAUAUAUGACUUGGGAGAAGUACUUAUAUAUGAUACUGGACUUGGGAGAAGAGUUGCACAACAUUUUAGAAAAGUUGCACUGUAGAGUUGACAUGUUACACCAAUAUUCAUAAACAUGAAUAGAUUAUCCCAAUGUGGCUAAAUUCAAUUGGUUCAUUUGAUUUCGGUUGAGAGGGGAUCACAAGCAUUAAAUCACCAGGAAUCAAAUUAUAACUUAUUAGGGGUAUUCAUGGAUCAAAUAUCCGAUCUGUGAACUAAAUGACUGAUUCAAUUUGCAAAAACCAAAGUAGCUAUUUUGUGAUCUGUAUCUAAAUAAGCUAAUAUAGAUAUCCAAAUUAGUGGAUUGAAUCAAUCGAAUACCCGAUUUGUAUCUGAUUUUAAUUUUUUAAUAAAAAUUAAUUCUAGAGAUAAAAUGAAAUUUAAAUGAAUGAGAAAUUUCAAAAGUGUCAUAUAGGUGAAAUGUUGCAUUAAUAUAAGAGGUUUUAGUCCAAAUUAUAAUAAUAUAUUGUUCUAACUUUCAUUAUUCUUUUUUUCCUCUAAUUGAAUGUAAUAAGAUUCAGUACUUCAGCUACAAUUUUUUUUGUCCAUGAAUUAUAUGAAAAUAUGUUUAAAACAUAAUAUCAUAUACAAAGAAAAGCUAUUUUGAAAGAGAACAUAGCCAUUAAAAUAAGAAACAAGAGAUAUGACUAUUAUAAAUUAGUGGAUUUAAUGUGUAAAAAUAGAAAAAAACUUACGAAUCAGUUUGGGUAUUUGCAACGGCAAAGAAUGAUAUCCAGGUCCAAUCUGUAUAACUUCUUGACCCCAAUGUGAUCUAAUUUAUCAAAUUAGAUGUCCGCUAAUUUGGAUCUGAUCUCCAAGUUUUACGGAUCACAUGGACAAAAUACAUACCCUGUAACUUAUGUAUCUGUAGAAUUUUUUUAUUAUAUUAUUCAUAUUUUACUGAUUAAUUCGAAACUUACAAAGCUCAUGAAAUUCACAAGCAUGGAAAGUGCAUCUUAUCUAGGUCAACUAAUCCUUUUACAAGACGUGGCAACUCAUGACAAAAAACUGUGGAGACUUGGCUGGCACUAGGGAGGCGAGUAAGAGUGUCUGCAACUAAGUUGACUUCCCGGUAACCAUGGACGAAAUGAAACUGGUAGGUUUUGGUGAGUGCCCAAAUUUGGCAUACAAGUUGAUCAAUGCGCCAUGGGCAUCUAGCUUGUCUCUGAACUACAUCAUAUAGCACCCUGGCAUCCAUUUCAACCAACACGUUCUUGUGACCAAGUGAAAUGCAAAUAGCAAGUCCCUCCAAUAAGGUUCAUGCUUCUGCUUCCAGAUUAGAGCAAACUCCAUAAUAAGAGGAGAACGCUACGAGUGUAAAGCCAUAAUGAUCGCGGAGUAUACCUCUCCCGCCCUAGGGUCCAGGGUUCCCAAUCGAGGAUCCAUCCACAUUAAGUUUAGAGAACGGGAAUGGUGGUGCCCGCCAAGCCAGGGUUUUGAAGGACCAAGGCUUAGCAGGGGUAAGAGUCGAAACCAUGCCCGUGGUUGGGAACGUCGUAUCCGAAUCCUUCAUCAGGGACAAAGGCCAAGCCACCAAGAUGGCCUGAACGUGAGCAAGGAUGCGACAGCAAAGUAAGGUAGCAAGAAGGAUGAUGUCCCCAAAAACCUAGACGUUCUACACUUUCCAAAUUUCGCAACAAAUAAUUGACAGCAAAAAUUGCAGAAGACAAUAAGUUGGAGAAGAAGUGGAAGCAUUUGCCCAGAAAUUUUGCAACCAAAUAAGAAUAUCGUCGUGACGCGUACUUGGAACAUCCAGUAGACACUCGAAAUAAUGCCAGACUUCCUCCGCAAAUGGACAUGUUGAGAAGAGAUGUCCACUAGUUCACUACUUGGGUAGAAGGAGCAUUUCGAGGGCAUAUUGAAGCCUAGCCCUUGAAGGAUGUCAGCCACUGGGAUGGCGUUAUUCAAAAGUGUGAUGACCCCACCUCCCCCUAGGACGUACCUAGGGAUUUGGCGGACCACCUGCUCAACUCUUCCUAGGACUCGCUACAUUCACUUCAAUCAAUUCUUAAAAUAACCGUUCAAGCCUCCAAAAUAACAUUGAAGUUUUACAAUUCAAGCUUAAUUACAAACCAAAAGUGAAAUGUAAGAUACAACAUCAAAUAUCCAAAGUACAUUCUAUCUACCAAAGGCACAAGUAGAAGAGGGUUAUACACACUAGUUCACGCUUAGUUGCUCCGAACCUCCACUCCUAUAAGGAAAACAAACUAAAGGAAUGAGCUAAAAGCCCAAUGUGGUUUCCAAACAAACAUUCAAGCAAUAAAUCACGGAUAUAUUACAUUUAACACUUCACACACUUUGCACAGUAAUAAGCAAUCAUUCAAGAAGCAAACAUUUAAUUAUUGAAAGGAUACAUGCUCAUUAGGAGCCAUUCAUUCAGUCAUUCAAUCAUUUAGUCGCUGUCCAUUUCUCCUUAUACCUCCGACAUUUGAAAACAUUUGAAAGUGAAAACUCUUUCAGUGAUCAUUUCAUUCAGUCAUUCAUUUCAGUCAUUGCAUUUCAGUCACUGGCCAGUACUCUACCUGUCUUUGUGGUCAUACUCGAAUAUACCAAACACUGUCCCAGGAUCACCAGCCUCCCAACUAAAUCUGCUUAUGGCUCGAGUCGACUGGCAACGAAGGGUAAGGGCCCAAUUCAACCAAUACGGUACAGUACAGUACACAUGGCUUACAUUCAUGCACAAGUAAUAUUCAAUCAGUUGAUCAUUGAAAAUCCACUUUCACCAAAGUACACACUGGCCCAUUGAAAAUCCAUUUAACAAUCAUUGGAAAGGAGUUAACACUCAAACAAACACACACAACAUUCCACAUAGUCAUUUAAAGCACAAACAUGUAAGGAACACUCACUACUUGAUCACAAUCGUUUCACUUCAACCUUGGUUCAUCCUCUUGGACACUUUCAAGACCUGUAUCAUGCAAUCCAUCAAGAGUCUAGUCACUUAAAGUCAAGAUGAUGAGAAAAUAUGAGAUUCAAAGCUUCACUUAGCAACUACAAAAACUAUAGGUUUAACCCUAAUAUCAGAAGGCCAAAAAGGCCACGGCUUCUUGUUUAAAUGAAGUUCUUAUCAAGUUCAAAUCAAGUGAAAUGUUCAUGCAUGCUAAGUUAAUACACCACUAAGUAUUUCAAAUCAAAAUAUGCAAGAUUUAACUAAAGAAAGUCAGGUUUAAAACCCAGAAAAGUUUUCUAAAGUUUUUCAAGUCCUACUCAAUCCAUUUGAUAAAUUUCCCAGCUUUGGUGACAUUCUUUGAAAAGGCAUAAUUUGAGUUCUGUAGAUCAAAAAAUCACAAAACUUACAUUGUUAGAAAAUAGACUCGAAGCACUAGGAGGCUUUAGUAGACAUCUUCAUGAAAUUUAGCUCAUAUAUUAGUCAAAUUUCAGUUCAAAACUCACUGCUAUCACAAGUGAAGAAACAGAACAAUCAUGAUUUUCAAGAAAAUUUGCAGAUUUGCUGGUAUUUAUAGAAAUUGAACCAAACUCUGAAUUUAUACCGUUGGAAGCUCUAUGAGUCUAGUUUCAAACGCAACAAAUGAAACUCAAUUCCGACUUUUCUAUACAAAUUUAUAGCAAAUUUUCCAAAACUGCGCAGAGCCUCCUGCGAAAAUUUUCAGUAAGCAAAUAGUUUGGAAAACUAGGUUUUUCCCCUCUUAAACCUCUUUGUUUUGACUCAAAAUCAACAUACAUAUGAAGAGCAAGGUUUUAACAAAUGUAUUGAAUAAGAGUAUGUCAAAAUCACCACAAAAUUUCUGAAAAGAAAGCUGAAAUUCCUUCUCUCUCUCUCGGCCAACCAUAACAGAAAUUUUCUAGCAAAAUCUCCAUAAAAAAUUCCAACAUUCUUACUUAGUUCCAUGGCAAAUGCACUAUAUCUUAUAACUAACAUGUCAUGAGGCUUAUGACAUAUGUUCUUGGCAAGAAAAUCCAUCACAACUCCACAUAUAUAUAAAACUUCAAGUAACUACAUGAAGGUUGGAAUUUUGCCUCUCAAAGCUGAAAAUUUGCAUACCAAGACUAAAAUCACAUAUCAAAGCUAGAACAUUUCUUAUGAAAGCUGGAAAUUUAUCUCAAAGCUAAAAAUUGAAUAUUAAAGCUGGAAAUUGACCAAACCCUAGCAACAACUUCACCAAACCCUAGCAAAACCAUGAAAUUACCAUAAACAUGCUUCCUUUAACUCCAAUCAUAACAUAUCUUGCAUAAAUCUCAAGAGUUUCUAGAAAUUUUACCUAAAACCCCAAGAUGACAAGCAACUAAAGAGCUUUCUUUCUCAAAUAACUCCACCAAAGGCUCACCUCCAAGCUUAACUCAAGGUUUAUCAGAGUGGAUUAAGGUUGGUCUUUGGAUUCUUCACAAAUCAAGUAAGGAAAUCAAGAUGAACUUUGGAAGUUUUUUCUCUCUUCUUUUCUCUCUCAAUUUCGGCCAAGAUGAUGAAAAGAUGGAGGAAAGUUUGGUUAAAAUCCAAGAUAAGGACUAGAGAAAAGUCUUGGUCAACGGAAGCUUCAAGUGUUGACACUUGGCACUACAUGGUUCUAUUCCUAUCUCUUUGUCUCUCUUGCAUUUCUAAUCAUAUAAUAUACUUCUCCAAUUAAUUCUUAAUACUUCUAAUCACAUAAUCCCUCUUGCACAACACUCCUUCUUGUCCACCAAAUGUAACACGUACAUCUCACUAGUCGGUCAAACUACCAUAAUAUUCUACGAAACUUAACAUGCAUCAAAAUUAUAAAAGGGAAAAAAGAAAAAUCUUGACUUAACCUUUAAAAUCACCUUGAAAUUUAAGGCUAGUAAAGUAAAAUAAAAGAAAAUACAAAUUAACUUUUUUUCAAAAUUACGAGAAAAAAUAAAAUAAUUUUCGGGUUCUCACAAAAAGCCUCCACAUGAAUAUCGAAAUUCGCAGAGGAAUUCUAGAACUCCAAAUGUAUCUUCGGGAAACCGUCGUUGGUCUUCUUUGGUGGACAAUAUGAAAAGUAGAUGAGACCAAGAAUUGGCCAGAAGCUGCAGGGCACCACACCAAUUCGUCCUUCAUAUCGUCGUGCAAGGCAAAUUGUUCUAUAUUGGCUUGUUGAGAGCUAGAAAUGUGUGGUUGCACCCCAUCGAAGUGCCAUGACCGAUCAUAGAAGAAAUCUGCAAUUCAAGCCACCGGGUGAGGAAAAUCCGAUGACAUGGCAGCAAGAGACCCCUCCCCUAACCAAUUUUCAUACCAAAAAGAGGCCAACCCAUCCCUAACAAGCAGCCGUGUGUGAUCCUCCAAGAUAUGCUUAGCGCUUAUCAUUCGCUGCCAAAUCCGGGAAUUCGAGGCCUAGGGCCUAAUAAGAGAAACGUGUUCCUCGCCUUUGACAUACUUUGAAGCCAUGAGUCGAGCCCAUAGGGAGUUUUUGAUCUAAAUUUCCACCAGAGCUUGCACCAAAAUGCCAGUUGAACAUCCUCCAGCGACCGAAGACCAAGGCCGUUUUCUUCCACCAAAUAACAGAGUUUGUCCUAGGAGAGCCAGCGUCGCUGAGUCUCGCCAUCAGCAGAACCCCAGAAGAAUCUAGACAUUAAUUGUUCCAACCGUUUCAAAACCUGCAUCGGAGGAUCCAACAUAGCCAAUGUGUAUAGAGAAAUGGCAGCAAAAACAUGCUUUAUUAGGAUUAGUCUCCCACCUAUGGUCAAAAGCUUCCCUUUCCAUCCAGCAAGGCUCCUGUUAACCCUAUCAAUUAAGUCUGAAAGUAUAAAACCUUUGUCCGCCGGGUGAAGAGCUUAUAUCCCAAAUAGUUGAUUGGAAGGUGCUUUUCUAGCAUGCCUGUGAUAGAGGAUAUUGAUCGUGCUCUAGUCGGCGAGCUCUUCCCAGAGAGGACAAAAAAACUUUUCACCGUAUUCACCUUUUGGCCAGACCCACAUUUGUAUAUGGCUAAAAAGUCCAUCAAACCCCUAAGCGAUUUUCUGUCUGCCCUGGUGAAGAUCAUAACAUCAUCUACAAAGCACAGGUGAUAGACUUGCAAGCAACCACGUGGUAGCCCAUAACUCGCUAUUGUUCCGAUCUCAACUAGAUGGCGGAGGCCCCUACUAAGCGCUUCUAACACUAAGAUGAAUAAAUAUGGUGAUAAUAGGUCCUCCUGCUUGAGGCCUCUAGAAGCUUGGAAGAAACCGUAUGGCUUUUCAUUGAGUAAUAAGAAAACCAAUUCGUAACUAGGUCAUGUAAGAUAAGCCCAACAAAAUGGGGAUGAAAACCAAACUUCUAUAACAACUGUGAUAAAAAGGACCAAGAGACCCUAUCAAAAUCUUUCAUCAUGUCCAAUUUAAAGAUAAUAUUAUUGCCCCGUACCUUUGUGUCCAGCGAAUGCACCAUUUCCUAAGCCAGCAGUAUGUUGUCGAAAAUCUCAUGACCUCGAACAAAAGCAGACUCCUUCUUUGAUAUAAGAGAUGAUAAAGCAGCCCGUGACAAGUGGUAUCAGGACACUUGUCACGGGCUGCUUGUUUUCCUACAAGCCAACACCUCGUGCGGCACUAGCGUACGUUCAAGUCUUAAGUUAUGAAUGCUUGGCUAGUUCAGCCUUAACACACACAAUGCGUGGUUAUAAUGCGGAAGCGUAAAAGUAGUAGACAAAGAAAGAAGUAUGUGUGGCAAAGGAAAGCUUAUAUUACACAAAGCCUCAUUUACAAGGUUGCCAAAGGUUACACAAAUGGAAAGGGCUUGGCCCAUUUAUAGGCAAGCCAAGAAACUACACAGCUCUAGAGAAUUCUACAACUUGGACACCAAGGCCUCAGCCAAUUACUCAGCACUUUAGUGAAAAUUUUACUGACAAAAGUGCGCAAGCUAAUUGGCCCGAAGUCAGCAAAGGAGCAAACAGCCUCUUUCUUUGGAAUGAGCAGAUGAGCGUACUCGCAAUGGCCUUGGGGAUUGGGACCCCAAUGAAAAAUUCUCAAUCCACGUUGACCACAUCAUAAGCCAAUAGAUCCUAGCAGUGAUGGAAAAAAAGCCUCGAAAAUUCAUCUAGCCCAGCUGCAUUCUCCCUGUCCAACUAAAACAUCACUGCGCGAACUUCUUCUACAGGCACUUCCCAAAGCAGGCUUUCAUUUUGCUGUGAUGUAAUCAGACACAGAUAUGCUGAAGGAGAUGUUGAGCAUCAAGCCCUUCCUCAUGCUCCUCCUCGGGAGCCUGCGGUUCUCUGGGUAACAAAUGUUGGAAAAAUCUCACAUUCUCAGCUGUUAUAGUCUCAGAGUCGUCGAUCCAUUCCCCCUGAGAGUUCUUGAUGCAACUAAUAUGUAACCUUGCCCGCUUCUCCCCCCAAUAUGAAUGAAAGAAUUUUGAGUUUGAGUCUUCGGCCUUUGACCACUUUACCCUUGCCUUCUAUUUCCAAUAAAGCUCCUCGUUUGCUAGUGCUUGGAGAAGGGCAGCCUGAGCUUGGCUCUACUCAAUGCAAAUGGUGUCUGUAUUCUAUGCCUCAAAUUGGAGCUCCUUUUAAUGGCAUAGCUCCUCUGCGUGAAGAAAGUUGUCGAAGACGUUGCCAAAUGUGGUCCUAUUCCAGGCUCAAAGAGAUCCUUUCAACCGCUUCAAUUUGCACGCUAAAGCACACAUUCCAUACCCAGCUGUCGGCAAACUCUGGUUGUGACGAAUGCCUUCCAUGAACGUGGGGUGAUUGAUCCACAUGUACUGAAACCUGAAAGAUUUUGAGCCAGAUUGGUGGGAGUUCCCAAACAAGCAAAGCAUGGGCGAAUGGCUUGAUGUUGCACGGUUGAGGUGGUGUACCACUAGGUUUGGAAAUUGCUUCUCCCACUCACUAUUGUAAAGGACUCGGUCUAGCCUCUUCCAUACCCUGUGUCCAUUCUGAAUACCAGACCACGUGAACCGGCUAUCGUAUGCUCGAGCUUGCUUAAGCGAGCAACCAUGAAUGAAAGCAUUAAAAUCCGGAAUCACACUCAAAUCUUGGGGGGUGCGCCCCGAGUAUUCAUCCAGCGAGCUGAUGACAUUAAAAUCGCCUCCCAGAAGCCACAGUUGCUGGACAACUAGGUGUCUUGUCUCAGUUAAGGUGGUCUAGAGCUCUUGUCGAUCCCGUCUUGUACAUUUUGCAUAUACAAAGGUGCAAUGGAAAAUAGCUGGAAUUGUCUCAUACGUGAUAGCCAAAUGGAGAAACUGCUCAUUAUUGUUAAUAACGUUCGCCUCGAACGAUCGGGUCCAACAAACCCAAAUUUUGUUGGUUACAUUGAAUAGGCCCAAGUGAAAGCCAAACUUCACACAAACGUAGAGAGAGAGGAGGGGUCCAGCAUGGCUUCUAGAAUUAUUAGAAAGGAAAUCGAGUGCAACCGUAGUAGCUUUCGUAAUGUCCGAGACAUUGCGCGACCAGCUAUGCUGUGCACGUUCAAUAUGAUUGCUUCAAUCAUUAAUCAGAGAGGAGAGGGGCAGCAUGGGAAGCCUUGGUGGCUUGUCGGGUAAGAAUCGUUCAUGGCUAUCAUAGGUAGCGGCGUUUCCUCAUAUGUCUUAUUGAAUUUUGUUACAGCAAUGCCCCGUGCUCAAACGGGCUAUUAAGAGGUGGAACAGGAGGGAUUCGGGUUUCCAUAUAGGAGUUGAAAGUGCGCAAAUUAAUCAUAUUGCUGGCAGGGUUGUUUGGUUCAUCCAAAUCUGACACCCAUUCAACACCCAUUGCUCGUUUGUCGAAUAUCUUCUUUUUGGUAUUUCCUUGGAGAUGUUCAAGAUGAUUGUCAUCGCAGAAGGGGAGCAUGAGGGAGCGUUGCGUAUAGUGAUCACACUGAUUGUUCACUACUGCUUGAUUACCAUUGUGCUCAAGUUACGGGAGAGCUGCAACACCAGGGGGUGGGGGAGCAGCAGUAGCAGCAGUCUCGACUACGAGAGAUUGCUCUUGAUUGUCAUGUUGUUUUUGCUGCAUGGUUAAGCCCGAAGAGCCUGGAUGUCUUGGGAUGAUUUCGGCACAACAAGGGAACAAGUGGGAGGCAGUUCAAGUUCACAAACAGCAUUAGCAGCAACUUCCUCUCCCCACUUCAGUUGUACAUCUGGAAGAUCAGUAGCUUUCGGAGGAAUAGCACCGGUAUCCAACCGCGACUUCUCCUUGACAAGCCAUAUCUGUUCUUCUCGAGUUUUGGGCUGUCGGAUUAAGGUAGGGUUAUGGGUCUAGUCAGCUCCACUCCUCAGAAUUUUGCUAGAGCUACGAUAAUUUUUCGAUUGGUGUCCAAGCUUGUGGCACUUUGAGCAAUAGACCGGCAAAUUUCGUACUUCACGGUAUGCCAGAAACUAGAUGCGCCAUGCCCAAUCCAAAGUUUUUCUAGAAGAGUCUACCGCAAGUCUAUCUCUACACAAAACCAUGCAACACUUGGGCGAUUGAGCGAAAUGGUAGAUGCAUCAACCUUCCAUGGUUCUCCAAUCAAUCUGGCAAUCGAGAACAAUGGUCAUUUAUUGAAUAGAUGUAUUGGAAGUCUCGGCAGAGAAACCCAUACUGGAGCUAUUAGGGAUUCGGCAUCAACCGAGAACGAGGACAUCCAUUUAAAUAUGCGUAUCACAAACCCUUGCAAGGACCAGACUCCUUUCAACCAGAGAUGUAAAAAAUCAUCUUCCAGUUCAAACUUGAUGAGGAUAUGGCGGUAAUCAAGGAGCCCCAGUGAGGAGGUCCGUUGGAAACCAAUAACCUAAAAUUCCUAUCGCAAAGCUUCCAUGCUCAGCCUCCCCUUUGAGAACUUACCAAUCAAAGAAUAAUGAAAGGGGCUAGAAAGGGUCCGAAUGUCCUCCUUGGUGAAGAAGACAGCAAGUUUGCCUAUAUAUGUGGUUGGUUCUCGAACAACCGAAGGUUGUUGAGGCUGGAAGGCAAAAGCUUUAGAGGUUUCUGGUGUAGCGCUGCCAGGGUGCUGUGCUACAAUGUCUGCGAAAGUUUUCUUAGGAGGAGGGGCUUGAUCUCCAGGAGAAGAGGUUGCCGAGACAGCCAUGGGAGCGACCCUAACGGAGGUGGCUAUAACCACUAAACCCUAACGGGGGUGGCUGUAAUAGGCUAUACCUAUAUUCUGAGAAAUAUUUACCAUCUGAAAAGAGGAAAAAAAAUGGAUUCUUUCUUAGAUUACCUUUGAUAAGCAGUGUACUAUAUAUGAUAAGCUACCCAAGAAACAAUAUAUGUAUUUGUAGCAUAUACACAUUUAAAUUGGACUAUAAGUUUAAACUAUUAAUUGUGCAUAAAUUCGUAUUUCUUCAUAGACUUAGUUUAAAAUGAAAUUCAUUGAAAUGUGGCAAGAUUAUAGAUGACUUGGGAAACGUACAUACACAUGAUAUCAGAAUCAGGAGAAGAGUUACACCUUUUCUGCAAAAUUACACUGUAUAGUUGAUAUGUUGUACCAUAUUUUUUAAGCAUGAAUAAACAAUUCCAAUGUAGCAAAUCUCAGUUGGUGCAUUCGAUGGUACAUGAAAUCACAAGCACUGAACCAUAAACAUUUACACAUUACGUGAGAGCCCAAAAAUUUUCAUGUCUUAUUUAAAAUUUAGCACAUGUUCAACUUUCUUUUAUUAUUGAUUGACUUACAUGUUCAAUUGCUUCUUUUCAUUAAUGAAUAAAUAGGUAUACCUUAGGAAAUUGUAUCACUUACAUCAUAAAACAUUACUACUAAUAAGAAUUUUUUUGUGGUAAUAGCAUAAAAAAAAAGAUAAGAAACAUAAGAAUGACACUUGUGCUACACUUGUCCUAAUGCAUGCAAACUACUAGUACUUAUCAUUUGUCUUCCAUUAGAAACCAAGGGAAAGAGUUAUGCAAACUAUUGGAAACUGAGGGAAAGAGUGAUAGAAAACACAACAUUUUCUUCUUCCUUGGCCUGUCAAAACCGAGUAGAAACAACAAGAAAAGCUCGGAGCUUUCUUCAUUCCUUCAGUUGUAAACAUCAGCCAAAAAAAAAAGGAGGAAACCACUUCAACUUAUUUAGCUAAGGGAAUCGAGAGAGAAAGAGAAACCAGAAAAUUUUUUUCUAGCCUAACACCGUGAAGAAAUAAGAGGUAACUCCCUGAGUUAUUCUUCAAAUUUCCUGCUACUUUUAGUUAGUAAUGUUUUAAAUUGAAUUAGAACCAAGAAAAGAAAAGUUUAACUGAGGAAAAUUUCAUCAAAGCUGGAAAAUUUCUGCUUAAGGUGUUGCAUGUUGUCCGAUAGUGUAAAGCUGCAAUUUUUGGUUCUUUUUUUUUUCAAAAUUCUACUCGAUUAUGAUUGGAAUCCAUGCUUUAUGUCUUGUAUAAUGGUUAUAGGGUGAUGCAUGUAAGUUUCUCUGGUGAAAACUUGAGUUUUGUGGCUGGUUUCUUGCUAGAAUUUUCAGCUUUGGUCGAGAGGAAAGAAAGCUUGGUUUCUUAACCUUUCAUCCGAAAUUUCUAAGAUUUUAGCUAGGAAAUUCCUAUUAAAUGUUCAGUACAAUCCUUAUUUAGUGUUGCAUGCUAGUUUUCCUUGGUGAAAAUUCGAUUAAUGGGGCUGAAAUGACUAAACUGCAUGGCUAUUAGCUUGUCCGAUGGAAUGUAGCUGAAAUUCUUGUUUUAAAACAGAAGUUUAUUGGAACGUUUUGUUGAGUUUUGAAAUUUCAUGACCUCAUUUCAGUAUAUAAGUGAGUGCAAGUUGGAUUUCGUUGAUAAUUCGGUAGAUUGAAUGAAAAUCUUGGAAGAUACAUGGCUAGAAUUUCAGCUUUGAAACUUGAAUGACUAAUUUUUUUUUAGGCAUAAUAUUAUAACUUUUAUUGAGAAAUAAAUUUCACAUUACAUCAGUAGAUGCCAAACAGAGGUGCAAAAACAUCCAAAACAGCAAAAAGAGAGAAUUGCUCAACCGGAGAGCCAAAGAACAGCAGCAGCAACAGGAAAACAACAUCAGCAGCAACAGCGCUUGAAUGAUUGUAGACGUCCUAGAUUCCAUUCCAGAAAUCCAAAUGUUUAGUAAACCCGAAAAUUAGGAUAACCUAACCUAUCCAACUUGAGGUCUCCACGAACCAAUCGUGGCAAUUGCAACCAUGAAUCAUACACUAUAUUGGACUCUAACUCAGUUUCAACCUUAGAUAAGUAGUCUGCAGGCACAUUCGUUUGACGAUAACAAUGAGUGACGGAUUGAAAGAAAUGCCUAAAAGUGAGCAAUUGAUCCAGCUCUCGUUGCAAACCCCAUGGACAUCUACUAACCCCCUUAACCAUUUGGACUAGAAUUAAAGAAUCUGAUUCCAAAUGCAAGCAAAAGAAACCUCGCAUAACACAAAGCUUAACUCCAAAUAACAAAGCCUUCAACUCCGAAUGUAAACUCGAUAUGACUCCCCAAUAACACGCAAAACCUAACAAAAACAUCCCCGAGCUAUUCCUCAAAACCCCCCCACCACCACUCCUUCCCGGAUUACCUAGAGAACAACCAUCGGUAUUCAGUUUACAUAUCGUCAAGAAUGGAGGGAUCCACCUAACCAGGAUGAACAUAAAUGUUUUUUUCCAACUCACUAGUGAAGAGUAAAAACAUGGCCACGAGUACCUUCCAACUCCCAUGUUUGUAAAAUGUAAUUGGAAAAUAUCAUAGAGAUCAGAAAGAACAAAAGUAUGAAUUUGCAUGACCGACAACACCUUGCCUUCCCAGACCGACAACACCGCAGUAUUCCUAGCUUUCCAAAGAUGCCAGCAAAUCAGCGAUGGCAGCAGCUGAUAAACCAAUUUAAGCUUCAUGUUUUUAGCUGGCCGCAACCACCAUUGAAUGACUGCAUGCUUUACCGUUGAAGGCGUGGCAAACUCACCAAUCUCUACUUGAAACGAUUGCCAAACUUGGCGAGGGACUUCACCUGUACAGAAAACAUGAUCAAUAGAAUCCAACCAAGGAUUUUGGCAGCAAACACAACGAGAUGGUCCGCACACACCAAAGCGCUGCAGCACAUCCUGCACCGGCAGUCUCCAAGAUAGCAUCCUCAUCAUAAAGAAUGAGAUUUUUGCUGGCCAGGCCUUCACCCAAAUGUUAGAUGAAAAGAUUGACGUGUUGGCAACGUUGCGGACCACCUUAUAUGCUGAAGAAAAGGAAAAUGAACCAGAAAUUUCUAAAUCCCACACCAUCCUAUCAGGUUGAUUAGAAAAAACAUCAGGGGGAGUUAUUUGCAGAAUCGUAGAUACAAUAUUUUCUGGAAGCCAUUGACGAAGCAUUGGAAUGUUCCAGUGACCAUUUAAAACAAAGUCCGCCACUGUGUGAUCACCAAAAAUCUCGAUCUGCUGACACAAAGGACUUGUACCAGUCCAAUUCUCAUGCCAGAAGUUUAUCAAGCCAUUCUGCAACACCCAUUGAAUAUGGGAAUUUGCCAAAGACUGAUAUGUAACCAAUCUCUUCCAAGUUACCGAUUGUAAUGGCUGAAAUUCCGCUUCGCAAGCAUGUAAUUUAUGUAAAUAUUUAGUGUGCAUAAAUUUAGCCCAAAGGGACUGACGUUGCCUUAAAGACCACCAUAACUUCAAUGAAAAGACAUCAAACACAUCAGUCAAAGCCCUCACUCCCACACCCCCUUCGGCAUACGGCUUACACAAUGAAUCCCAUGCAAUCCAAUGAUACCGAGACCCUUUUUCAGUCGUACCCCAUAGAAAAUUUGCAAAUGCUUUCUCAAGGGUGCGGAGAACACCCUUAGGAGGAGUCGAAGCAGCUAAGACAUGUAUAGGCAAAGAUGAUAAAAACUUUUGAGUAACACUAACCUCCCUCCAGAUGACAAAAGCUUCUCCUUCCAAGACAAAACUCUCUUAGCAACUGAAGUGCAGAUAUCUGAAAAAUAACUGCUUUUCCUUCUCCCCGAGUAGAGAGUACAGCCAAGAUAUCUAAGAGGAAGUGACUUGGCGUGAAAACCAGAGAUUUGUGAAAUGACACGUUUAUGAGGUAAAGUCAAAGCAUCAUGAUUAAUAAAGCAGCUUUUUUGACAGUUAAGUUGCUGACCAGAUACACUACAAUAGUUCUCCAAAACACUCAUGACUUUCUUCAAAGUACGCUUAACUCCACUACAAAAAAUAAUUACGCCAUCCGUAUAAACUAGAUGCGUGACAAUAGGGCAUGAAGGAGGGACCUUAAAUGGAAGAAAACCUCUCUGUCCUACCAAAGAAUUCAGCAAUCUAGAUAAAACCUCUGCCCCAAUAAUAAAAAGAGUCGGCGAAAUGGGAUCUCCUUGGCGCAGUCCCCGAGUUGACUGGAAAAAACCACAUGGGGAGCCAUUAAUAAGAACCGAAAACCAGACAUUGGAAAUCAAUCACCAAAUCAUACCGAUCCACCGCUCACCAAAACCAAAGCGUCGCAGUACUUGCAACAAAAAGAGCCAUGAGACUCUGUCGUAAGCUUUGGCCGUAUCCAACUUCAAAACCACAUUCCCCCCAGAUUAGACUGCCGAAUUCCAGAAAUCAGCUCUUGAGCCAGCAAAAAAUUAUUUGAAAUUUGCCUUCCUCUGACAAAUCCACUCUGCUGAGGCGAAAUAAUCUUAGGAAGGAGACAAGACAAUCUAUCCGAUAAAACCUUUGAGAUCACCUUGUUGAUAAAGUUACACAAACUUAUAGGAUGAAAUUGUGUAAAGUCUUGUGGAGAAUGCAACUUUGGAAUCAACACUAUUGAAGUUGAAGAGAUACUUCUAGGCAAAACCUCCCCACAAAAAAAACUAAUAACUGCCGCAUAUACAUCCUCAGCCAUAAUGUCCCAUGCAAACGUAAAAAACUUACCCGAGAAGCCAUCCGGACCAGCCGAGCUAUCACCAUCCAUAGGAAACACCACCAACUUAACUUCUUCCUUGGAUGGGAUUUUCUCCAACAUCACAUUAUCAUGUGAAGUAAUUAAUUUAGGGAUAACCUCAAGAGUUUCAAAGGAUUGAGCAUAUGAUUCAGCCGUGAACAAACGUUUUAAAAAUGAUUCAGCCUCUCCCUCAAUAUCAGAUGUACUGUCCAACCACUUCCCAGCAGACGACUUGAUGCGAUGGAUUAACGAUGUACUUUGUCGUUCCACCACUACAGAAUGAAAAUACUUGGAGUUCCUAUCGCCAUCCUUUAACCACUUAAUCCUAGAUUUUUGUUGCUAGAACAUAUUCUCAAGUGCAUGUGAACGCCUUAGCUGGGCUUGUGCUUCGUGUAAUACAACUAAAUUUGCCUCAGACGAAUCAGCAUCAUAACUAAACUCAGUAUUGAGAGCACGUUGUUCCGCCACCUUUACAGCUUCAAAGAUAUCACCGAAAACCUCGCGCGACCACGUUCGUAAUGCCACCUUUACAUUCCGAAGCUUGGCUGCAAGGACCUUUAAUGGUGGGCCUGAAAAAUUCCUGUUCCAAUUGCACCUAACCACGUCCAACAGUUCUAGUUUAGAUGUCCAGAAAUUCAAAAAAGGAAAUGGCUUUGGUUUGUUAUCCAAUUUUGUAAGAGUCGACAAUAACAAUGGAGCGUGAUCUGAUGGGUCUCUACACAAAUGUUGUACGGCAAAACCUAAGUCUAAAUUGGAAGAAACCUGAUUCAUAAGCAACCUGUCUAAUCUCUUCCAAAUACGCGCUCGACCAUAUCUAUUGUUGCACCAUGUGAAAAUAGACCCUGAAUACCCCACAUCAAAAAUCCCAGCUUGAGACAUAAAGUUCAAAAAAUUCCAACCUUCCUCUGGUCUAAACGGCACCCCACCCGUUUUCUUCUCCUCCGAGACAAUGACAUUAAAAUCCCCCACAAGAAGCCAGGCAGACUGAGUCGGUUUGUUCACAAGAAGGCUAUUCCAUAAUUCUACUCGUUGAAGGGCAGUACACUUGGCGUGGACAAAUGAAAAAAUAAUAGGGACAGCAAAUAUUGCAGAAUCAAUUUGUAAUGACAAAUGUUGAUUAGAUUCUCCAACUAUACGACAAAAAAUAGAGGCUUUAUAAAAAAUCCAAAUAUCACCUGUACUACUAAAUACAGCGUGAUCCAUAUUAAGUUUCAUCCUGAUCGAAUGGAUCUCUGCAACUUGAAUUUUUGGUUCACAAAUAGCUACUAGUUGAAUGGAAUGGUGUUUUACCAAAUACCUCAAUCUUCGAAAAUUUGGGGCGCGAGAUACACCCCUAAUAUUCCAAAACAUAAACUUAAUCAUUGAGACAAGGAAGAGGAAGAGUUUGAGGAAACCUUGGCUUUCGAUCGCAGCGAACGAUCAGAUGAAAAUUUAGCCCUGAUACCUUUCGGUUUGCCAUGCGUAACCACCUAUAAACCUUCCUCGUGCUGGAGCUUUUCACUGACUUGUUGAAUGAUCGGGUCAAGAUUAAAGAUAUCCGCAACCGCAGAUGAUUGUUUUGCCUACAAAUCCUUCAGCACACCACAAUGAGAUAUAUCAAUGACAAGCGCAUUCUGCUCCAGCUGACAAGCAAAACGGGCUUGCUGGUUUUCCUUUCCAGCCAUAAGUUCCAAAUUGUCAAUUUGCCUGUUUGAGGGAUCAACAGUGGGAGCCACCGUUAUAGUAUCUUCCAGCCCAUCAAGAUCAUGCUGAGACACCACCGCCUAAGUAUCAGAACGUGAACAUGUAGCAGGUUCUGUGAAAAUCCCAGUACAAAUAUUUGCGUCUUCAACAAAAGGAGUCAUAACUUUAGGAGAUUUUGAAGGCCCCUCCUUAUCAACCACACCCACAUCCUUCUCUGUAGUAGCAGGCACAAUGAUUGGAUCCACCUCUUUCCCAGAUUGAUCAUCCUGUUUGCUAGCCACAAUGAUUGGAUCCACCUCUUUCCCAGAAUGAUCAUCCUAGUUGCCUAUUGUGCCCAAGCCAGGUGAAGAAGUAGGUUGAAAACGUGUAUGACCAUCCUGUUUCUUGGAAGCUAACGGUCUCUGAAUUUUAAAAUCCGGAUAUAGCAUAUGACAAUCCUCUUGGAUAUGUCCCUGCUUAAAACAAUGGGAACAAUAUUUAGGCAGAUUUUCUGGAAUUAAAGCUUGCCAAAAGCCCUCAUGAUCACCAUUACCAAUCCACACCCUAGGAGUAAGAGGUUUUAACAAGUCUACUUCUACACACACCCUAGCAACACUUGGUCUGGAAGCCACCAUGGUUGCAGUAUCUACAAACAAAGGAUUCCUCAAAACGCCUGCAAUCUGGAACAAGCAUUCUUUGUUAAAGUAAUGCAGCGGCAAUUUUGGUAACUUAAACCAAACUGGAACCACCGAAGGCUCCUUGUCCACAUGGAAAGCAGGAGACCAUUUAAAGACACGCAUAGGAGCACCAUAAACAUACCAUAUACCUCUAGCCCAAAUCCAAUGAAAAUCCACCUUAUUCCCCAAGUUAAUCACUACAUGUCUGGAGUCUAAAAGACCUACCUUAGCAGCCUCUUUUAGAUCAAGAGAUAAGAAGAAUUUCCUGAGAUCCUCAAUAGAAGGACGACCCUUAGAAAAUUUACCAACCAAAGCAAAUUUGUAUGGAGCAGCAAGUGUGGCCAAAUCAGUUUAAGAAAAAAGAAUCGCAGGUUCCCCUCGAUGAGUCGAAGACACUACGUUGAUAGUCAAAAUGGGCUGAGAAGCUGCAUUACCAAAGAGUUCAGAAAAAGAUUUCUUUUGGAAUGUAGGAGAAGAGCUAGAGGGCAGCUUGACUUGCCAUCAACCUCAAGAGCACCGAAAGUUAUAUUGGCUUUUUACACAACUUUGCACAGCUUUACACCGAAAGUUGAGAGAACUUGAAUGACUAAUUGUGUUCUCUCAAGCCUAACUUCCAUCUUGUGAACUAAAGUUUAGGCAAAUAUUGAUUAAAAUUAUCCUUAGUACUCUGUUUUGGUCUGUGUAUUAUGACUACUUUGAUUUGGGGAGGAAAUGUUGCAUCUUUGGGGAAGAAAUCUGGAGCUAGUUGAGCUUACAAGACUGUUUUGGGCAGAUUGGAAUAGUUGAGGGUUCGAGCUGUUUUCGGGAAUUUUCAGGAGAUUUUAAUCAAGCUUUGAUCUAAGAAUGACCUAUUAAGUCUAACGACAAAAUACAAGUUGAAUUUAAGGAGAUUUGAACAAAGAAAUGGUGAACUUUGGACAGAAAACAUGAAGCAUGUCCAGCUAAAAGAAAUCUGUUUUGAACAAUCCCAACCUAGUAUUUAGAUUCUAGGUUUUAACGUUGAAUUUCUAAGAUGGAAAUGAACCAAAACUGACCCAAACCUCUUUAAGCUACCUUAUAAAAGUUUUACUUAUAAAAUUCAUCCAAAAUCUAGGAUAAAAUUAAGAAAAUUCAUGAGAUCUCUAAACUGCCAAAUUCUAGAAAACUUACUAACUUUGAACCUUGAUUUUAAAAUGAUUCCUAGAACCUAAAUCCCAACUUUUAUUAUCAAAUGUAAAUUGCCAUAUAACCACCUUACCUUACUUUACUUUGGUAAAAACAUGGAAUUUUAGGGCUUAAAAAGAUUAAAGUUACCAAGACUUUGAAUCUUUGAUGUACUAGAAUAAGAUAAGUACAAGAUCGCAUUAAAACUCUAUAUAUAUACACGCAUAUGCAAUUAAACAUCUUGGAUUAUAUAUACACACAUAUUUACCCUUUAACUAAAAUAAUCAUGUGAAUCUUAACUUCACCAUUAGGGAAAAACAAUAAGUAGACUAAUAAGUUUAUAAAUAUCUCAGGAGCAGAGGGAGAAUCGAAGGAGGGUCCACACACUGAGGAGUGAACUCAAAUUACUUUGGGUAAGUGUUUCCAUAUUUGUGUGUUUAAAUUACUUAUGUGUUACUUAAAUGAUGUUUAUAUGAUUAUGCUAGUGUUUUAUUGUGAACUAUUUUCAAUUGUUCCUCACCUUCUAAGUUGGGAGUGUACUUUAUCACACUUUUUCUUUUUUAGCGGUGUCCGCAGGGAGUGGACCCCGCAGACUAUUCUCCACCCUCCACAACUUGCUGGCAGCAAGGUUCGAACCAGGGACCAAAGGUUCCAUUUUCAGCAAUCUCAACCACCAGACCAAGCCCUGGAGGGCAUACUUAUCACACUUGACUUAGCUUGAGAUUGAAAGUUGAUAAUUGACCAAGUGUCAUUAUAAGUGUGCAUGACUGUAAGCCGUGUACGUACUUCAUCGUACUAGCUGAAUUGGGAACCAAAACCCUAUGUUCAAUGGACUAUUCGAGCCUACCAAGGGCUUGGUUGGAUAGAAUGGUAGCUUUGGCUAAGUGUUUUGGUAUGUUCGAGUACAACCACGAAGUAGCAGAUUACUAAUAUAACCAUCUAAGUGAGGGAAGUGUUUACUGUCUAGAGGUUAUAAGGGGAAGUACAGCGGAGUGUGUAGUGCAUUGAAGUGACUCUAAUACGGGCACUGUAUCCUUUUAAAUGUGUUUAUAUAGUGAAGUGUUUCUUAUUUACUUAAUUUUGUUACUUGUUUAAGUGUUUAAUUGAUUGUUACUUGUAUGGAAACCUUACUGGGCUUCAUUCAACCCAUUAGUUUGUUUUUCUUACAGGAGUAAAGGACGGAUGUGGAGAGUAGCUGGAAAUUUAAGCCCGAGACUUGAAAUUGUAUGGGGAUGAAUCCUUUUGUACUUAAUGUUAUACUUUUUCCGACUUUAUUAUCUUUAAGGAUUGUACAUAUUAAAUGUUAUAAGCUAAGACAACUUUGCUUAUUUUUGGAAUGUACUUAAGUAUAAUGGACGGUUAAUGGCUUUAGUUAGUGAAAUAUUAUCUCUCAAGUUAAUGUGAGUAAGUGAGUCCUGACGAGAGUCAAACAGGCUAUCCGCUUAACCCUUUGGUUCGCCUUAGGGUAUGGUGGGAUCAUCACAUAUUGUAAUUUAUGUAAAUAUGGCAUAUACAUGUUUAAAUAGACUAUAAGGUGAAAUUGUAAAUUGUGCACAUGUUUAUACUCUCUUCAUAAACUAGGUUUAAAUUGUCAUCCGUUGAAGCAAAAGUAUUGAACCACAAAUGUUUACACAUAUUAAUACUUUUGUAUAUGUCUCAUAUAUAAGUUUCAAUAGACUAUAUGUCCAAAUUGUAAGUUGUACACAUAUUCAAAUCUCUUUUUAUAAACUAAAUUUGAAAUUUCAUCUAUUAAUAUAUAUCUAGAUCUAUAUCAUAGAUGGUUUGGAAGAAGUACAUAUACUUGAUAUUAGACUCUGGAAGAGAGUUACACCACUUCAGAAAAGUUACACCAUAAUGUUGACAUGUUACACCCAAUUCCUUAAGCAUGAUUGACCAUCCCAUUGCAGCAAAAUUCAAUAGGUGCAUUUGAUUUCGGUGGGGGAGAACCACAAGUAUUGAAUCACCACUAGUCAAAUUAUCAUUUAUUAGAGAUGUAUUUGAUCUUUGAACCAAAUGACUGAUCCAAUCCGCAAAAAAUCGAAACAGCUAAUUUGUGAUCCGUGUUUAGAUUUGCUAAUACGGAUAUUUUAAUUAGCGGAUUGGAUCAACCAAAUACCUGAUCUAUAUCUAAUUUUAAAUUUUUAAUAAAAAAUUAAUUCCAAAAAUAAAAUGAGAUUGAAAUGAAUUAGAAUUUUAAACAUAUCAUUUAGGUGAUAUGUAGUACUAACAUAUGAGUUUUUAGUCCAAAAUGAUAUUAUACUAACUUUCAUUAUUCUUUUCUUUUACUCUAAUUCAAACCAAUAAGAUUCAAUAUUUCAUCUACAACUUUUUAUCCAUGAAUUAUAGGAUAACAUGUUAAAAUUUAGCAUCAUAUACACAAAAAAGCUAUUUUGAAAUAGAACAUAGAAAGAAAAGUAAGAAACAAGAGAUAAGACUAUUGUGAAUUAGUAAAUUUAACGUAUUAAAAAUUUCAAAAAAAGCACUCUAUGGAUCGGGCCAGAUAUCUGCGGAUAGCAAAAUAGCUUUUGAGUUAUGUAAUAUGUAAAAAAAAAAUCAGCGUAUUUAAUGUGUAAAAAAAUUUCAAGUACUUUUUGAAUUAUUUAAUGCGAAAAAAGAAACAAACCCAUGAGAUACCACAAAUGUGGUAUACCAUAUUAUAGAUGAUUUCAUUUUAUUUUAAAAAUUUCUGUUAUACAUUUUUCAAGUACCCUUUUUUUUCAAAACUCUUCUAUACUAUAUAAUUCAAAUGAAGCCAAGGCAUCGAACAAUCUAUCAGUUGAGGUGCCAUUUCUGAUCUUUUGGAGAAUUUUUUUCUAAAAGAUUCUCUGUUUGCACAUUUUCCAACCUUUUUUUUAUUUUUUCCCAAAACACCUCCGUGCUAUACAAGGCUUGCUCUCAGCUAAUUUUGGAGACCUGAUUUUAGUUUUUGAUUUUUGAAAACUAUUUUAUUGUGUUUUCAACUCAUUUUUAAAAGUUGAUUUUAAAUUUUUUAGGUCCAAAAGAGAAGAAAAUCAAAAGCAGGUCUUGAACUACUUUUUCUGAUUCAAGAGUACUUAAUCAUGUAGACAAAAUUAGAAUUUAUAUUUUGCAUAAUUACUAAAUUAUCUAAAAACUAGAUGACUUUUUAUGCUUUUUCUAUUUUUUUCCUUUUCUCUUCUUAUUCAAGAGUACUUAAUCAUGUAGACAAAAUUAGCAUUUAUAUUUUGCAUAAUUACUAAAUUAUCUAAAAACUAGAUAACUUUUUAUGCCUUUUCUAUUUUCUUCCUUUUCUCAUUCCACUUCCAGAUUCAUCUUUGGGGUCGUUGUUUUUCUCAUCCAUCAUUUAAUCUUCAUAAAAAUUAAUUAAUUACAUAAAAAUUUGUAUGAUUAGAACAAAAAUUUAUUUAUAUGGCAUAUGAGGGUAACAUGGUCAUCUUUUUAUCAAAAUUAGCUAUUUAACUUUUUUGAGAAUACAUAUGCAUUUAUUAAAAUGGUUUUUUAACAGUAAAUUAGAAUCCAUGAGUUAUUCUGAGAAUCUGAUUUUUAAGAAUCAAUUUUAUUAAAUCAACUUUAACAAAAGCAGAAUUAGUUGAGAACAAACCCACAAUCCAAAUACGGCCGAAAAAGAUGAAUAAUUGAUCAAUUGAAGUGCCAUGUAACUUUAUGUGGACGUCAUUGACAAGGGACCAGCACCACUUCAGUCGUAUCUAAAAAAAUCUCUAUUUUUCUUUCUAUUUCAUGCAAUGAAUUUCAAAUUUAUUUUCCUAACAAGCAGAGUACCAACUGGUAAAUCUUAUGUUCUAAAAUAAUUACUAGUUGGGGGUUUUGAAACCAACCAUGGUUCAACAUAAUUUCAUGCCAACGUCAGAAAAAGGUGAAAUAGCCUCUCACAUUUGAAAUUUGGAAGGUGGUGCUGUCGAUUUUUCGACUCAAUUACAUGUUCCUCACUCUUUUUGCUCAAAGAUUGAUUUGUAGGAAACACGUAAAAGAAUGCAAUAUACAUCUAUCCCUACUACCUCACUUAAUAUCAUGUCAUAGAUGUUUCACCAAUGUACAACACACACUCUUUAAUCGUCGAAUUACAUAUACAUUGUUGCAUUUCCAAGGUCCUUCUAAGCUCAAGAAGUUGGAAAAAUCAACAUUUCAGAAUAGCACCAAUACUCCUAUGUAGCGAAGGAUUUGGUAUCAACUUCUACAAGCUAGAAUGAGGAAGUGAUUGAAGAUUCUCUCAUGCAAACCGUUUCUUUUGCAGCUUUCUUCUUCAUAAUUGCAAAAGAUCAUCAGCCUCUUUUUUGCCUUAAACAAAUUUGCAUCACCUGUGGCGCUUUCAGGCUUUUUCAGAAAAAGCCCGACUAUUAGAACCUGAUUUCAUAGAAUUUAUCAAGUGACUAAAGUACUUAAACAGCAUCGUCAUUUUGCCGAAGAUGAUAAGUUGUGUGCUUUAUCAGAGGUUGAGGAUUGCCAACCACCAGAAUCUCUGUACUAGACAAGAUUCAGUACAAGCUUGGUAGUUUCCAUUGAAGGCUUCCAAGCUUAAACCAGAAGGAACCAUUAAAUACUAAAUAUCUGACAAUCAAUUAUAGAGUUUGCUAAAGUGAUUAUGCUCCAUAGCGACACAAACAAAUCUGUCAAAAAAAGAAAUGGGUGGAGGACAACAGUCACAAAAAUUAUAAAUCAACAUCUUCAAGUAGGCAUGAUUACAAAUUAUACAAUAAUACAUUAAGAGUCAAAAAGUCAAACAACUAAUUGUGCAAUAGCACGGGAGAAAUUUGAAAAAUAGAUCCUCUGAGCCAUAUAUCUAGUGACAGAAUUGAAAUAGCUAGAGGUACUUGUGGACAGAGUAGAGAAAAUAAACUACCAAUCUUAGCAGAUAAAAUGCAUCAAUUUAGAAGAAAGAAAUCAAGUCCAAGAAUUAUAGCCAAAUUCUUCAUUUUCCCAAGUUUUAACAUUUGCUACAAGGGUGCAUGUGGAGUGGGUAGCACCAACGAUUAAUAAAUCAGUGUAACUGAAAAGUUAUUCACUAAAUGGCUAAACUAAGUUCACCAAGAUGAAAAACCAAAAUCUACCUAUUUGUCUAGAGAAAUGACUGUUCACACGAAAAGCCAUUAUAGCAAAAAGCAAAGAAAAUUGCAGAUAAGACUUAAGAGUGCAACCCUUAGAAUUGAUUCGUCAUCACAGAAAAUCAUGAACUUAAGAUGACCUAGAUGUACCAAAGCGAGAGGAAAACAUUGAUAAUUACAGAAAAUCACGAACUCAGAAAUUACCCUGAUUAUUGAAUAGUACCAAUUAAAAAAACAUAAAUGAAAGGAAUCCCUUACACUCCAAUUAUACUACAAAACAAAGUCACACAAAGUGCAGCACCAAAUCAACAGCGGUAACCAAAAACAUCACAAAUUCAGAGAGUAUCUUAAUGAUUGAAUAGCACAAAUCAAGAAGUUGGCAAAUGAAAAGAAUCAGUUACAUUCCAACCAACAUCGAAUCUGUUGUAAAUAAAGGAAUAUUUCAAAAGAUUUUGUCCCAUAUUGAAAAACUAAAGAGACUUCACAUUAUUUUAUAAAGUUUAGUUUCUUAUUGGAUUUGUGUUAGAUUGCUAACUAGUGUGGGUUCACGCAGAUGAAAGGGAAAUUGAUGAUUAGUCUUUAUUUUACCUAAUUUUAGUUAGGUUCUAGGUUAUGUUUUUGGUAUAUUUUAAGAUACAAUAGAAGAAUUGAGUUCUUUGAUAAAUUAUAUUUUAUAUAAGUAGUGUUACUUAACCAAAACAUGCAAAAGUAUGGGUUAAUAUGCAAAUUUGCGUUGUUUUUGUAGGUUUUGGGUAGCAUAUGAAAAGAUUCAAAUCAAAAAGAGUUUGAUAGCUUUGACAUAUUUUGGUAUUUCUAUUAUAUCUUGAGUUAUAAGUAUCGGACUGAGGUGGUUCUUGAACCAUUUUAAAGUUAAGAAAUGGAUCUACAAUUCUUAUGAAGAUAUCGAAAUCCAGUUUGUUGAGUUUUCUAGUCAAAAAGUCAAAAUGCAGUCAAUAAAAUUUAUGUCAAAAGCUGAAACAGAGCAUUUACUAGUUAGGGGUAUUUUGGUCAUUUUUCUGCCUAAGAGAUCCAAAUGAGAUGUUUCUUGAGGCAUUGAAAAGCUAACUCAAAUAUCUACAACUUUUAUGUUUUGUCCAGGACCUAAUUCGGCUUCCAUCAUCAAGAAACUUUUAAUUAAAAUUGGAUAAAAAAUAGAGCAAUGUUGAGUUUUUAGUUGAAAGUGCAAAACUGAGCACAAAGAAGAACCGCGAGAUAGAUCUGCCAGGUAGCAUGUCACAGAUCCACCUCACGGGUCCCUUAGAUAGAGCUGUAAGUUGCAAGCAACUUGCAUUCGUUUCCCACUGCUUUUUGGAUCAAUUUUUCUGAAGAAAUUCAGCCUGGAACCAGCUAAACUUGAGAUGGAAAAUCUAAGAACAACUUUUUGACCAUAUGAUGAGCUCAUUUUCUUGACCAAAAACAUCUAUAAAUACCCCUUGUAUCUCAUUUAUUUGAGAUCAUAUUUUAGCAAGAGAUAGCAUCUUAUAGUAAAAAGUAGAGUAGAUUAAAAGUAGAAAUGGAAGUAGUUUUAGCUCUACUUUCAUAUUGUAAGUUUCAAAAUUAGUUUAAGAGAUUUGAGAGAGAGACGAAAACACUCUUGUAUCAAACUCAUUUAAGAGAUCAACUUGUGAAGGAAUUCAAGGAUUUAAGAUUCAAGACUGAAUAAGAAUUUUUCUUCCUAAACUUUGUCUCUUAUUCUUAUUUGCCAUACUUUUUUACAAGUUUGUUUCAUGCUUAGAUAUUCUUAAUGUGAUAACUAGCUAAACUUUUUCAUAUUCUAGGGUGAAGAUGAACUUGUUAUAAUCUUAAUUUGGAGUUAGGGGAUGAUUAUGCUUUUUCAUGAUUUGUUAGUUUGAGAACUUGUGCUUAUACUUUAUAGUUGUUUGGCAAUCAAUUAUGAAUGACUUGAUCAUUGUUGAGCAAUGAAAGUUGCCUUCAAAUAGAUCUAAAUUCUUAAACAUUAACCUUAUUCUCACAAAAGUGGUGGAUAAUGGUUAGUUGGAUUCAUACAAUAAUUUCAUUGAGCAUAUUUAACUUGUUUCUUACCUUUUCUCUAUAAACAUAGAUGAAGGAUGAUUCAAGAAAUUAAAGAAAUUGGCGAAAGCAAUUUCUAGAGGAAUUAGGCAAGGCGGUUUCUUUUAAUUGUCUAUGGGCAAAAGCAAAGACAUACAAUUGGAAGUUAGUCCUUGACAAUUCAUGGAAGAUAACCAUAAUCACCUUAACUAACUUUUAUUCUUGACAUAACAAGGGAUUCUAAUGCUUAGGAUCCUCUCACUUCAUCUUUAAGCAAUUCUAAUAUAACUUAUCUUUACUUUCAUUUAUUUUAUUGCAAUAUACUGCCUAAAUGAUUGGUUCUACCACCUACUGGCCGAUUUUAUAUUUAUUGCUUUUGCUAUAUGGCUGAUUGUACCGCCUAAACUAAAAUCUUUUAUGGCCGGUUAUAUCGCCUAAGAUAACAUCUUUUGCAGCCGGUUUUACCGCUUAAUUAACUUUCUUUGUUUUUACCAUCUUAAAGUUUGAUUGUCUAGAUAAUAAAAUUAGUAAUUAAACACAAGUGAUUACCAAUUUCUAGGUCCGUAUGGGAUCGACACUGUGAGAGCCUGAGAAUUUAUUCAUAUAUUUCAUAUUUUAUCGAAAGUGUUGCAUAUACCAUAUCAUUGAUUGAUUUAUGUGUUUAAUUGUCUCCUUAUAAUUUAAGUGCAUAAGGAUACUUUAGAUUAUUGUAUGAAUAAUUUUAUAGAAAUUAUACCAUUUAGAACAAAUUAAUGGGGCAAUAGUAAAACUACUAGAAUUACUUUGGCCAUAGUAGAAUAAUGUUUGGAGACAAAUCAUGUAAAUGACAAAUGUCUAGUUUUUUUUCUAUUUUUUUUUGGCCAAAUGUUCAAGAGUUUGUUAAAUGACCAAAUGGCCAUGGAAUGCUUAAAAAAUGACCAUGCAACCAGCUUCAUUCCAUUUGUCUUGACCGAGAGGAACAAAAGAAAGAAAAGGGAGAAAUCGAAUCACUUUCUUCUUCUUCAUCCCAAAACCGCACGUGAGAGAGAGAGAGAGAGAGAGAGGGAGAGCAUAUUUCUAGUUCCUUCUUCUUCAAGCCACAACCGAGAGAGUGAGAAGGCAAGGUAGAAAAAAAGGGGGAAGCUUGGUGUGAUUUCUUGAGAAGCCAGGAGAGAAAGUAGUCUGUCCGUAUUUUUCAGCUUAGAUUUUCGCAGAAAUGGAAGUAAAACUUAUAAUAAAACCCCUCAAUCUUCCAAUACUCUUAAUUAUAUAUGUUGCAUGUUGAUUUUAGAUAAGAAUGGUGAGCUUUGCUGAAGAAAAACCGGUUUAAUAACUGCUCAUUUGUUGGAAAAUUGUGUUAUAGCCGAGGUAAUGAGAACUGAUAUGCAGCUUGUUAUCUGAAAUUUUUUUUGGAGAAAUUAUACUAGGAAUGCAUGAAAUAUGUUCAUCUCUAGUUUCAUAAGAUAUUUAUCUGUGAAACUAGUGAAAUGUUGGUAAAUUUGGCUGAAAUCGUUGAAGGAAGUUGCUGGAAUUUUCUAGCUUUAGCCGAGAAAGAGAAAGGAAGAAUUUUUUAGUUUCCUCUAUGAAUGUUGGCUGCGAACUUUCAUAUUGUGGUUCAAUACAUUUUAUUAUACAUUGGUCUUGACAUGCAUGUUAGAUUUGAGUGUAAAAUGGGGAGUUUAUAGGAGGAAAUCUAUAUUUCAAACUACCAAUUUGCUGGAAUUCUUCCAGUUUGACCGAGAGAGAGAGAUGGCGAAAUUUUCCAGUUUUUCCAUGAAUUUUGGCUGUAAAGUUUCAUUGUUGUUGUUGUUCACACCUUAUAAUACAUUAUACAUGUGAAUUUUAUGGUGAAAAUUUGAUUUUUAUGGCUGGAAUUUUUAUUGGAAGUUGCAUGACUGUUAUACCAUUUUCCAGCUUAGCCGUCGGAAAUUUCUUGGAGUUUGAAUGGAUAUUUUGGUAUAAAAUUGGCUGAAAAAUGCUUGAUUCGUACUUGUUUCUGUGUUAUGAGUUUGUUGGUGUGUGAUUUGUGGUUGGAAAUAAAAUUUAAAUGGUUAAAAUUGAAGGGGAAGGUUACUGUACCAACUAUAGGAAUCGAGGGGACUUUGUAGCUUAUUUUAGUGGAUCUUCAACUAUUAUUGGGUUUCAUUGGCUUUAUAUGAAUUGCACACACACCAUAACGUAAUAAUCUAGUCAUGCAUAUGGUUUUUGACCAAUAAAAGAUGAAAUUAUGGGACAAGAAAGUACAUUAACAUUAACUACUUUUGGACUUGAAUGAUUAGAAAAGGGGAAUGGGAGUUAAAUUGAUCCCUCACAUCUAAAAAGAACCAAUUCAAAGAAAACUAAAUGUUAAGAUUUUUAGCUAUCUAAAACUAGAGAUGUCUGAACUAGUUAGACCCUUUUGAGCCGAUUGGAAUGGUUCACUACAAGAAAUUUGGUCUUUAGUGACAACCUAUUCUUGUCUCAAAAAAGUAAAAAGUCAUCACUAAUGGAUUUUACUGACAACUUUCCGGUCAUCACUGGGUCGUCACUGAAUGCCCGUCGGUAGAAGUAUACACUGAUGACUUAAAAGUCGUCAGUGAAUAAGGCGCUUUUGUGACAACUUUUCUCAUCGGUAAAUGCUUUAAGUUUAGUGACAACAUGGCUUCUUGUCAAUGAUGCAUGAAGCAAUGUCGUCACUAAAACUCAACAAUAGUCAUCAGUAUAUGGUCCAAUUACUAACAAUUUUGUCGUCACUAAACACCUUUCAACAGUGACAACAUAUUGUUGUCAAUAUAGAAUUUAAUUCAAUUACAACAAUUGUUGUCAAUAUAGGCACCUGAUUUACUUCAAUUACAACAAUUGUUGUCAAUAUAGAAACCUGAUUUACUGAUAAUAGGCGCUUGUCAUUGGAGAAAUGUGAUUCAGUUACAAUAUCUUGUCACUGUGUAGUUUGAUGUAUUUCUUACUAAAGUAAUAUAGAAAAAUGAGAGCCACCAACAAUGCUUAAUGAAUAACAAACACAUUCACCCAUUACAAUAGAAAACGCCAAAAUAUCAUAAUAAUCCUUCCAAUAUCAUAGUCAUGUGCAACAUCACAUUAUAAAGAGUUUGACAAGUAGUAUUAGAGUGGGUUGUAUCAUAUAAGGCAAGGGAGCGAUACAAAACGAAUCCAAGUCCCAAAACAUUUUUGUGUUAUACGAAACAUUUCCUAAGCAUAAGAUAGCACUAUAACCAGUCUUUGAGUCAAUAAGUAGCCUCGGCUACUCAUCUUCCAAAACUCUAAAAUGUGCAAUAUAUCUGCAAUAGAAAAAAACAAUUAUUAGUAGAUGACAAAACAAACUUGAGACAAGGAAAAUCAAAUGAGGAUUCACAAAAAAAUAAAGUCUCAUUUAUUUAAACUCUCAUCCAAAUAGUGACUACAUAAAGAGUAGAAUAAGAGACAAAAUAAAAGCAAAGAUAGCUCUUCAUAUGCACAUAGGAACCAAUUGUAGAGAGUAAAAACUAGGUAUUGUCACAGACAAAGGAAAUUGUUAAUAUCAAAGACGUAUAACAGCCUUCAAAUUUCCUAAAUAAAAAACAAACGUAACAAGCAUUUACUAAAUUCUUUGGCAAAUUACAUGGUAAUAUUGUCACAGACCAAGGAUUAAGGUUCAAUAACUUAUGCUAUUUUUGAAUCGCAACAGCCACUGUAUCUAUAAUAAAUAUAUGUCUUAGUCACAAUUUAAGGUCUCAUAUAUGCUGGAAAUUACAAGAGCGUCUCAUUUACAAACAUAACACAAUUUAGACAAGUAUAUAUAGUUGAAAAUUGCUUACCAUUCAAUAUGAGUUGAUAUGUCUUGGUUCUGCAUUUCACUUUGUUGGUUUACAAGCCUCUCCAUAAGUUGUUGGGAUUGAACUGCCAUUUCCAAUUCAGCUGAGUGCUUUUUGGCUUGUUAUACUUUUUUCUUGAAUUCUUCUCUCUCUGAAAGUUAUUGUGCAAUUACAAUAGCUUUUGUUCCAAUUGUGUGAGUGGUUUUUUGCUUUGAACUAUUGAUCUUAUUCCUCUCACUCAUCUUCUGCACUUAUGAAGUUUAGCCAAGAUCAAAAUCAAUAAAGAUAUGAGUAAUAAGAGUAGUAAAGAUCAAAAGUCAGCCUAUGCGCAAAUCAAAUUUGGACUACAGGAGUAGUCAGAAGGUAAUUCUAACCUAAUUCAUCAAUUUAUGGUGGACGAUUUGCAAGUGCAUUGUAGCCUUUAGUACUCUAGCGUGACAAAUAGGCUUAUGCUGGAAAAUCACUUGCUGUCCAUAAAAGGGUAGCAAGUAACAUAAAUUUUUCUCCUAUGGCUGCGUCAUAAGUCUCAAAGCCAGUGUCAAAUAAUUCUUUUAGCUCAAUAAUUAAAGGCCUAAAAAAUAUAUCCAUAUCAUUUCAUGUGCAUUUAGGACCUGGAAUAAUCAUUGAUAAUAGGAAAAAUGGCUCCUUUAAGCAUUUCAAAGGUGGAAAAUUAUAAGGAACAAGGAUUACAAGCCACAUAUUGUAUGUAUUAUUCAUAUUUCCAUAGGGAUUGAAACCAUUAGUUGAAAGCCCAAGCCUAACACUACGAGGAUCUUUAGCCAAAGAUGAAUGAGUUUUGUCAAACUCCUUCCAAGCUAUUGAAUCAGCCUGGUGUCUCAUUGUGUUUUCACUGUCAACACGUCUCUCCUUAUGCCACCUCAUAUCACGAGCUAUCUCUUUGUUUAAAAAUACUCUUUGCAACCUCAUUUGUAAUGCGAAAUAGCGAGGCAAUUUUCUAGGAAUUUUAGAACCAGGAGAUUUAUACCGAGGUUAUUUACAUUUAUCAUUUGGGCAGUGAUCUAGGCUUUCAUUUUUUUAUGAAUAUAGUGCACAAUCAUUUUCACAUGCAUGUAUUUUUUCACACUUGAGGCCCAACUCAUGAAUUAAAUUUUUUGCAUCAUAGUAUGAACUAGGAAAUGAUACCAUGGGAAACACUUGAUUGAGAAAUUUCAGUAACAUAUUGGCGGAUUUGCAAGUCCAUCAAUUCAUGGUUUUCAAAAGAAAGAUAUGGACAACAAAGAAGAGUUUGGAGUACUUAUCACAACCUAGGUAAAGACUUUUUUCAGCUUCGGAUAAUAAUCUAAGAAACCUACUUGCUUCCCCUUGUUGCUCAUUUGAAAUAUCCCUAUUAUAUUCCCCCGAAUUUCUCCAAUUCUCACCAAAGUUAGCUGCUUCUACGUCAUUUAACAUUUCUUGAAUACAAAAGUACAAAAAAAUCAUAGUAAUUAGUCUUAGCUAUUAAAUCAUAUUAACCACUGUGCACCUACAUAUGCAUUAUAUACAUACUGCAUUUAGUAGCAGUAUAGCAACAUUACAAUUUUUAGGAUGAUUUAGAAAGUAUAAAUUUAUAGAAAAUUGGACUGGCUAUAAAUAAUAGAAAAAAAAAAAAGCAAAGACGAGAUAGAGAAUAUAAAGGUACCACAAGUGAAAAUGGUAGCUUGAUUGGUAGAUUGUAAUAUCCUAGACCCGAAUCCGAAUCUGAAGCCUCUGUCAACAGGUUCAAUUGCUGCAAAUAAUAACAAAAAUCAGUCGACUGCAGGAGAGAUUAAGAAGCUAACUUGAAGCUAAUACAAGCACUAGAAAACUAUAGAAAGAAUUAUUGGUCCUAAAACUAAUUGAGAGCCCUCUUGGCCAAUAAGUCAGCAAACGAUAAUGCCAAAAAAAAGGAAGUUGAAUCAAUUAGUCUCACACAAAUGACUCAACUAAACCAUGCAAAAACUUCCAAAAGGAAGGAAAAGAAAAUUACUCCUAUCAUAUUCAUUAAUUGGCAGGAAAAUCAAAACACAAAUCAGAAAUAUUCACUAGUUGAUAAAAUCAUCCCUCGAAAAUAAUGAAAAGAUGCUACUUUUUAAUGAUAACUAUAACUUGCAUCAUAGAAAUCAAUCAAGACAUAGGCAAAGUAGAUCUUCCAACAAACACCUUCCUAACUCCCAAGAAUGCAUGAAUUUUAAAUCAAAAUCAUGUCUUUGUAGUUCCUUUCCUGUAAAUAACAUAAAAUUUUUUUACAUCCAUCGACAUGUUAAAUUUGAAAUGAAACUCAAGAAAGUUGCAAGUGGUUCUUGAGACCCAUUUCUUAAAUAUCAAAUCUUGAGCUGCAUUCAUCUAUAGUAACAUAAAGCAAUGAACCAAGAGUGGCAAGAGUCCAAAGGUCAAUCUAUUUCUGGGAAUUGAGGAGAUCCCUUUUCAAGAAAUAGGCAAAAAUUACCAAUUGAAACCAAAUAAAUAAGAAACAGGUCCAUACAUAGAAAACUAAUGUAAUGUGAAGGAGAAAGCACACUCCAAAUGGAUAAACAGUUCACUCUUCAAAUUUCCAUGUCAAUUUACCAAAUUUUAACCCAAAAAAAUACAUCUUUCGUUGCAGAAAAAAUAACCUUUGCAGCUUUUGCUCUAAAUUCCUAACUUGGAGAUAAAAAAAGAGGAGUCGUUUGUGUUAAAGCAAGUAAACAGCAAUGUCAUUGCCACCAUACUAUUUCAUUCCUCCCAGAGACAGUAAUUAUGGACUGAAGUGUUUUUGGUUUCCCUUGUAUAUGUGUAUCACGAAUCAAAUUUAUUGGUUCUAUUUGAUCCAAUUACUCUUAAAUCUUAAUUGCCUCAAAUGAAUUUGACAUUAUUGUCACCUUGGUCUCGAACAUAUUUUUCAUCAAUAUAAAUAUAAAUAUAUGUAUGUAUGUAUGUAUUGACGAAAUCAAGAAAUUUGAAUCUUUAUCUCUUAAUUAAAGCUCCAAAAAGACAAAGAAGAAAUUUCUUCCAAUCCAAUUAAUCCAAAUUAUUCUUGGUAACUACUAAACAUGGUGGAGGACUGGUGACGUUGCAUAACAUGCAAGGACAAGUGAAAAAAAAGAAAAGGUUCCAAGAUAACAUUGAUGGAGCAGUAAGUACAUUCUUAAACAAAUUGCAAACGAGAACAAUCUGUCCAGAAAUGCAAAAAUUUAAAACAAUAGUUUAUUUUGGUCUUGAAUUCUCUUCUUACUUGGUUUCCAGCCUUUUCCCUAAGAGAAGUGUCGGUGCAAUAGAGUAAGCCAUUAGGCGAUAAGACGAGCAGUAAGUAAUCUUUUCUAAUUACUGGGUAGAAGGGAAUUGACAUUGUUCAUGUGGAGUUGCCUGUAUCAGAAACUCAGUUUUCCACCUCAAAAGUUCUUCAAUGCCGAAUGAAGUUCUUGAGAGUGGGUACAAUUCUUUCCUCCCAACAACAACAACUGAAAGCUCAAAUUUCACCAAACCUUGUAACUAUAUCUCUGGCUACUUAUCCAUUUAAUUUAACCCCCAAUCACUAUUUCCCCUUUCCCUCUUCACCCAACACCACUUCACCAAUUAUUUUCCUCACAUGCAACCACUCACCGCCAAAAAGUUCACAAAAUUAUCUCCUAGUUAUCUUUGCCCCUCGAAAAUAUAGCAUUACAUUUGCCCUCCUAGACCUAUCACAAACCCGUACAUACCCACACUCCAAUCCCACUAAAACCCUUCUAUUGUUCAAGACAAAGUUGGCAAAAAUUAAUUAGGGCAUAAACCCACAAUUAAACAAAUUCCACAAGGAAAAGAUGACUCCAUCCAUAAAUCAAAUGAAACCCAAAAAAACUGGACAAAAAUUCUUGGCAAAAAAAAUUAGAGCAAAAAAUUUAGGGGAAAAUUAGGGAAGAAAAAGAUAAAGGACAUACCUUUUGCAAAGAGUUUUGGUGGCAGUCGUGGUCUUCCGUUCAGUGUUGCGGAGCCAUUAUCAAUCAAUCGAGAUGAGGAGGAGAAGCUCUAUUUGGUUCGGCCGAGAGGAGGAGAAGAAGUUCUAUUUGGUGAAUUGGUUCUAAGUGUUGAAAGUGAGUGAAAGAGUUGGUAGCCGAUGGUCUUGUCCAUUUUUGUUUGCAAGUGUUUUACAAUACCCAUGCCUUUCUUUGUUUAUUCAUUUUCAAUGAAUUCAAUUCCUUAGUUUUUCCCUCCUACUUGUUUGGUAGCAAAAUUUCAAAUAAAGUUUUUUACUUUUACUCUUUAGUUGAAAUAGUAUAAUUUUAGUAAUAUAUUAUCAAUUGGUACUUUUUAAUAUUUUUGUGAAAAUAGUCAUAAUGGUUGGCAAAAUUUUGUUACAUUACUCCAACUGAAAAUGUACUUUUGUUAUGCUUUAAAUAGUUCAUUUUAGUGGUUAAUUUUGCUCUAAAUUAUUGUACUAGCGUUGAUUUGCUAGAAAAAACUUGAGUUCCCAAUAGUUAAUAAUUCAUUAAAAAGAAAAUACACAAUAAUAGCUAUAAAACGUGUACAAAUAUUUUAGAUAAAAUAGUGACAAGAGCAAGUUGUCACUAACUACAUCAAUUAUUAUCAGUGACAACAAUGGACAAACUAUCAAAUAAAAGAGAAUUAUUACUGAUGACAUUUAGAGAGUCGCCACAGAUGUAGUUUCCCGCACUUUGGUGGGAGUCCAUUUGUGACGACAUUUAAGGGUCAUCACUGUUGCCUUUGCCCCUUUCAAUUAAUUGUGACAACCUUUCUUAUUGUUGCUAAUGGGCCGCAUUUUGUGACAACCUUUUUUCAUCACUAGGAAAUGUUGUCACUAAUGACCAAAUUUCUUGUAGUGAUUGAGGAUUUCAAACUAAUUUAUAAACUUUCUCUGAAAGUUUUGACCAAAUUUUGAACUAAGAACAACCUAUUAGGUCUAAUGGUAAACUACAGGUUGGAUUUUAGGAGGUUUGACCCAAGAAAUAGUGAACUCUGGACCAAAAACAUGAAGCAUGUCUUGCUUAAACCCGUUUUGAACAAUGCUAACUUAGUACUUAAAUUCUAACAUUUAACUUUAAAUUUCUAAGGUAGAAACGAACCAAAACCAAUCAAAUUCCUCUAAGUUACCUUAUGAAAGUUUUACCUAUAAAAUUCAUCCAAAAUCUAGGAUAAAAUAAGAAACUUCAUAAGAUCCCUAAACUAUCAAAUCCUAGAAAACUUACUUAAUUUACACCUCAAUUCUAAAUGAUCCUUAGAACCUAAAUUCCAACUUUUAUUGACAUAUAAUCACCUUAAAACUCCUUCUAAAUAUAUAUAUAUACACACCUAUAUAUACAGUAGUCAAAAUAAUCAUGUGAAUCGUAACGUAGCCUAAUAAGUUUAUACAAAUAUCUCAGGGGUUGAGGGUGAACCGGAAAAGGGACCGAGCACCGAGGAGUGAACUCCAACUACUUUGUGUGAGUGUUUCCGGAUUGUGUGUGUAAACUGCUUAUGUUUUACUUAAGUGAUGUUAUGUGAUAAGCUUGCUUAUUAUGGAAUAUUGCUAGUGAUUCAUUGUAAAGUGUAUCUCAAUAGUCCCUCAUCUUCUAAGUUAAGGUGUACUUUAUCGCACUCGGUUUAGUUGAGUUUGAAGGUUGAUAAUUAACCAAGUGUUAUUGUAAGUGUGCAUGACUGUAAGUCGUAUGUGUACUUUACCACAUUGGCUGAAAUGGGCCCUAAAACCCUCUGUUCAAUGAACUAUUUGAGCCAGCAAAAGGGAUUGGAUGGAUAGGACGGUUGCUUUGGGUAAGUGUUUCAGUAUACUCAAAUAUUACCCUAAAAUUUGGAGAUUAUUGAACUGAUUAAUAAAUGCAGGGGAUUGUUUAUUGUUUUGGAAGAUAUAAGGAAGUGAUUUUGGCAGUGUGCAGUGAUAUUGAAAUGACUCCCAGAAGGAGCUUGUAUCCUUUUAUAUUGAAUGAGUUAUUAUAUUGUGAAGUGUACAGUAUUAUAUAAGUGGCUCUUAAUGAGCACCGUAUCUUUUUGAAAGUAAUUAUACAGUGAAGUGUUCUUUACUUGCUUAAUUUUAUUGGUUUAAGUGUUUAUUGAAUGUUGCUUGUUUGGAAAACCUUACUGGACAUAAGCUCAUCCCCUUAACUUUGUUUUUCUUACAAGAGUUGAGGUUGGAAAAAGCGUCGAGUAGAGAUAGAUGGUUUUGGGUGGUCAAAUUUGUAUAUCGCUAUUUAAAAUUGUAUAUUACUUCUUUUAACGGACGAAUUUACAUUCUAGUCUAGUUGGCUAUGUACUUAAGAUUGAAGAUAUGCUGUCACCUUAUUUUGAGGAAUGUAUAUAGAUAUUAAAUAAUAUAGUUAGGAUAACUCUUGUUUUGGCUAUAAAUGUAAGCGUGAAUAGAUUGUUAGUAGAUGGUUUAAAUUAAUGUUAUCCCUGAAGUUAAUGUAAGUGAGUGAGUCUUGGCGAGAGUCAAGCAGGUGGUCCACUAAACCGUAGGGUUCGCCCUAGGGUCCGGCCAGGUCGUCACAGACACCUAUUAUCCUUAUACUCAAUAAAUGAACUGUGCACUUGCGAAAAUAGGAUAAUAAGGUUUUAAAAUUUAUAGUAUAGCAAAAUACCUUAUCAGUUGAGUUGGACUAAUUCAGUACAAACUAACAGAUUUGCAUCUUCCCUGUGCAUGGGUUAACAUGACCCAAGUUAGUUUUACUGCUCUUAUAUCUUACAAGAAGUACAAUAUAUUUUUUACUUUUACAAAUCAAGAAGAUAAGUUUUUAUCUGUUACAAAAAUCAGCAACAACAUCUCUUUUUCUUAGACAAAUUUUAUCUCUUAUCUCUCCAGCACCUGAUAAGAUUUUAUCUCUUAUCUCUUAAGAAAAUCAUUGCAUAAAAUCAGCACUCCAAAGUUCACAAUUACAAAAUCAGUGCACGUCUUAUUUUGUUACAAAAUUCUCUAACGUAACUCUUUUCUGACACCUAUAAAUACCAGGUGCUCCUUAUUUGAAAAGCACAAUCACACUCACUCUCACAGCUCCAGUUGAAUUUUCCUGAUAGCUUGCCCUCUUCUCCUCCUUCUUUCCACUCUUAUUUCUCCUCUCUGCUAGUACAAUAUUUGCUGAUUCUAUUCUUUCUUGUUUACAGUAAGAAGUCUAGUUUAAUCUUAGAAAAAUAUUUUAACUUCCUGAAAUAGUUUCUUAGGACAGUGCUAUUAAGUACGACUCAAAUUUCCUCAAAUUACGUCUGUGAUUUUGUUAGCAUUGUUCGGACUCUUUUGAACAAUAUAAGAAACUAUGGCCUUUGACAAUGGUAACACCUCACAACCUACAACCGCAUCAGUUGCAGUCGCACUAUCACUGGCUAAACCUUUUUCAGACGUCUCCAAAAUUGAAGUUUUUACCAAUAAAAACUUCAAAAGGUGGCACGAACGUGUGCACUCUCUACUUAACAUUCAUGGAGUGGGCUAUGCACUGAUAGAAUCUCAACCACCGGCAACCGUGGAUAUCAAGACGUAAGAAUCAUGGCAAUAUGUCAAUAAGGUAUGUCGGCAUACUAUCUUACAAACACUUUCAAAUGAAUUAUUUGAUGUGUACUGCAGCUAUAAGGAAGUUAAGACAAUUUGGAAAGUUUUGGUAACAAAGUUUACCGCCAAAGAUACAACCAAAUAAAAAUUUGUCGUGGGAAAAUACAAUCAAUGGCAAAUAAUAGACGACAAAGAAAUGAAAGUACAACUUAUGGAAUACCAAAUGCUACUCGAGAAUUUGAAAAACAAAGACAUCAAGCUGAGAAAUUUGCUGCAAGAAUGCUAAUUAAAAAGUUGCUCGAGUCAUGGGCUGACUAUAAAAAUAACUUGAAACAUAAUAACUUGAAUAUUUAGCUUUAGAUAAGUAUUGUGAACAUGAAUGUAUAAUACAUGAAAUAACACCUCCUUAUGUACUAGAAUCUAAUGAAGUAGUUGAAAGGAAAAAUAUGAUACUAAAAGAAAUAAUGAAUUCUAUUUUAUUUAGUUCCAUGCUUCUGAUAAUUUGUGAGAAAAAGCUAUAUUAUCUGCAUGUCACCUACAAAAUAGGAUUCAUAUAAAAAGACUGACAAAACACGUUAUGAGUUAUGGAAAAAGUAUAAACUAAAUUUAAAAUAUUUAAAAGUAUGGGGAUGCCUUGCUAAAGUGUUAUUACCUGAACCUAAGAAAAGAAAAUUAGGUUCUAAAACUUCUAAUUGUAUGUUUAUUGGAUAUGCUGAACAUAGUGUUGCAUAUAGGUUUCUUGUUUUAAGAAGUGAUGUGCUUGAUUGUAAUACAAUCAUUGAGACAAAGAAUGCUGAGUUCUUUGAACAUAUUUUUUCACUAUCCAAUAAAAUUUCUCAUGCACCUGUUGAAAUAAAUAGAGAAAUAACCUCUAAUGAGGAAUUGAGAAGGAGUAAAAGGUCGAGAAAAGAAUUUUUCUAUGAAAAGUUGAAAACUUUUCUUGUUGAUAAUGAUCCUUUAACUUAUUCUGAUGCUAUUUCUUUUCCUGAUUGCAAGUUUCGGUAAGAAGCAAUUAAAUCUGAAAUCAAUUCUAUUAUGAAAAAUAAAACCCAGGCUUUGUAGAUUUAUUCUCUGAUACAAAACCUAUUGAUUGCAAAUAGAUUUUUAAAAGAAAAUAUAAUUCUGAUGGAUCUAUAAAAAAAUACAAAGCUCGUUUAGUAGCAAAACGAUUUUCUCAAAAACGAAAUAUUGACUAUUUUGACACUUUUGCACCAGUAAUAAGAAUUUCUUCUAUCUGUAUUUUAGUUGCUAUGGAUUCUAUCCAUAAACUUAUUGUUCAUCAAAUGGAUGUCAAAACAAUUUUUUUUUAAAUGGUGAUUUAGAAGAAGAAAUUUAUAUGUUUCAACAUGAGGGAUGUGUUGUAUCUAGACAAGAAUAUGUAAAUUAAUUAAAUCUUUUUAUGGUCUAAAACAAACUCCUAAACAGUGGCAUGAGAAAUUUGAUCGAGUAAUGAUAAAAAACAUAUUCUUGUCUAUAGAAGUAGAUAAACAUGUAUAUACUAAAGUUGUAAAUGAUAAAUAUGUAAUAAUUAGCCUAUCUGUGGAUGAUAUACUUAUAUUUGGUAUAAAUAUAUAUUGUUAAUAGUAUUAAAUAUUUUCUAUCUUCUAAUUUUGAUAUAAAAGAUUUGGGUGAAACUAAAAUGAUAUUGGGUGUUAAAAUUAUAAAGAGAGAUGAUGGUAUAAUAUUGUCAUAACAAUAUUAUACAAAGAGACUUCUUAGGAAAUUUAAAAACUAUGAUGUGACACCUAUAAGUAUUUGUGACGCCCCCACUUAGAGUGGUUUGACUCGAUACUUUUGAAGAUGUAAAUAGAACUCUUUUGGCGUUAGAUCUAUUGUGAAUUGUACGCUUGUGGGUUUAUCUAGUUUUAUUGUUUUGAAAUUUUGAGUCCUGGCGCGAGCUAGGCAGGCGUCCCGCCGAUACCCUAGGGUUCGCUCUUGGGAGAAGCGGGGGCGUCACAGUAUUCCUUAUGAUGGUAACACUUAAUUAAAAAAUAAUAAUAGUGACCCAAUUACUCAAUCGAAAUAUGCUCAGAUUAUUGGGAGUUUAAUACAUUUAUGAAUUUUACAAGGUCUGAUAUAGCUUAUGUUGUAUGUAGAUUGAGUAGCUAUACUCACAAUCUCAAUCGUGAGUAUUGGUUUGUAUUAGUCAGACUAAUGAAAUAUUUGAGAGAUACCAUGAAUUAUGGUAUCUUGUAUUGUGGAUUUUCCAUUGUAUUAAAAAGGUACAGUGAUGUUAAUUGGAUUUCUAAUUCAAAUAAGACAAAAUUCACUAGUGGUUAUAUGUUCACCCUUGAUGGUGGUGCAGUAGUAUGGAAGUCAGCCAGGCAGACAAUUAUUGCUAGGUCAACUAGGAAUCAAAAUUUAUAACUCUGGAGUUGACUGGUUCUGAUGCUGAUUGGUUUAGAAAUUUCUUGACUAAUAUUCCUCCAACUAAGGAUUAGUUGCCUCCUAUGUCCAUACACUGUGAUUGUCAAGCGGCAAUUGUUAUUGCAAAAAAUAAAUCUUAUAAUUGUAAAAGUCGACACAUGAGAUUGAAACAUGAUAUCGUAAAAUAGCUACUUAGAGAUGGAAUUAUUUCCAUUGAUUUUGUGAAGUCAGAGUUAAACUUGGCCAAUCCUCUGACUAAAUCUGUAGGAAGGAAAUUAAUUCUUCAAAUUACAAGGAAAAUGGGACUGACGUCAAUAAGUUGUCAAUAGAGACAGUAACCCAACUUAUUUGAUUGGUGAUCCUAUGAAUAGGUUCAUGGGUAAAAAAAAAAAAAGAAAUUGGUUCAUGGCUAAUAACAAAUCAAUAUUGACUAUAUAGCACUUCAAAUAUAAGUCCCUCCAAAGAUAAGUUCUUUGAUUGCUAGUAAUUGUGAGAUUGAAUUUAAAACUCUUAAUGAAUUCAUAUCCCUUUAGGGAGGUGUAUUAAAGCAAUAUACACUUGAUGAAUUCACCUAUAUGAGAAUAGAGUGAGGCCACUCCUAUAAGAUUCUUUGGCCAAAUCUUUAGAGCCCUCAUGAAUAAUCAAGUAGGCACACGAUCUAAAAGCUCAAAAUCCCGUUGAGCAACAAAUUGUGGGUUGCAAUAUGAUUAAUUAAAUCCCUAUCAUACAUCAAAAGUUAUUGGUUCAUAAAAAUUGAUAUUUUACCAAUAAUUCUGUAUGUCAUGUUUUGUCAAUCUAAGUUUGGUUCAUAGUUUAAAAUACACCAAAUUAAUUACAUUUCACCCAAAUAAAUCCAACAUAUUGUUUUCUUAUUCUCUUUUGUCUAAAAUCUUUUGAAAUAGGAAAUACAACAUCUAUAGGACAACUUCCAUCUUGAAAGUUCUGUAGCAUUUUUAUAUGAUAUCCUCAAUGAAAAAAAUCACAAUUGAAGAGGCUGAUCCUAAAAGGCCCAAUGAAUUCCUAAUUGAAAUUCACUGAAAACUGUCUUUACAUUGGAUGGUUUGGAAGAUCAUCUCAUGGCUAUUGAGAACAAAUUAAAUCAAAUGCUUCUAUUUCUCAAUCUUUCUGACUUGCUUUGCUCCUACGGAACCAAGGUCGAAGAGAUUGAAAAAGAUUGUAGUAAAUAAAGGAGUAUUUCAAAAGAUUUUAUCUUACAUUGAAAAACUAAAGAGACUUCUCAUCAUUUUAUAAUGCUUAGUUUCUUAUUAAAUUUGUGUUAGAUUGGUAACUAGUGCAUGCUUGUGCACAUGAGAGGGAAGGUAAAUUGGGCCAAUUCACUACAAACUGACGGAUUUGCACUCCCCAUGUGCAUGGGUUAAACAUGGCCUAAGUUAGUUUUACUGCUCUUAUAUCUUGCAAAAAGUAAAAUUUAUUUUUUUACUUUUACAAUUCAAGAAGAUAAGUUUUUAUUUGUUACACAAAAUCAGCAACAACAUUUCUUUUUGUUAAACAGAUUUUAUCUCUUAUCUCUUCACCACAAGAUAAGAUUUUAUCUCUUAUCUCUUAAUAGAAUCAUUGCAUAAAGUUAGCACUCCAAUGUUCACAAUCACAAAAUCAGUGCAAAUUUUAUUUUGUUACAAAAUUCUCCAACGUAACUCUUUUUUGACACCUAUAAAUACCAAGUGCUCCUUAUUUGGAAAGCACGCUCACACUCACAGCUCUAGUUGAAUUUUCCUGGAAGUUUGCCCUCUUCUCCUCCUUCUCUCCACUCUUAUUUCUCCUCUUUGCUGGUACAAUAUUUGCUGGUUCUAUUCCUUCUUGUUUACAAAAAGAAGGUUUGUUUAAUUCUGAGGAAACAUUUCAAUUUCCUAAAAUAGUUUCUUAGGACAGUACUAUUAAGCACGACUCAGGCUUCCUCAAAUUACAUCUGCGAUUUUAUUAGCAUUGUUUGGACUAUUUUUCAAUAGAAUCAACCCAAGAAAAUCAUUGAUGCAAAAGAGAGUCACUAUCAAUUUAAUAUCACAAGAAGCAAGCAACACACAACAUCCCUAACAAUCAGAUCAACAUACCACAUAGUCCAGAGAUUGGACUCAAGUACAACUAGAGUACCACAGCAACAGCAGUAACUAAAAACCAAAAACUUAAAUAUUAUAAAAGUGAAUGCAUUGUACAAACUAAGAAAAUUAAUUACUUUCAAUUUGAGAUCAAAAAAAUUUGGCGACCUACAAUGCCGUCUUUUUUUUUCCCAAAUCAAUGUUUUAUUACCUCAAAAAUAAAAUACAUAGAGCGCAUGAAGGCCAAAAGUCUUACAACACCACAAUGUCGGAGGAAGGAAAAGACUCACUACGUUCUAUACAAGCCCUAAUGUGUAGAAAUGCCCUGAGAUCCAUUCCAAAAGCAGCACGAACACUUCGCGGGAGAUCCCUCAAAGAACCAAAAAGCACAUCCCUUCCCAAUCUCAAAGAAGCUAAAGCAUCAGCUACUAAAUUCGCUUCCCUAAAUACAUGAGAAAGAUCAACCUGUAACUCGCCAAUUAUCUGCCUUAAAUGUCUCAGUGUAUUAAACAAGGACCACUUUACAGACCCAUCUCCAUGACGCAGAUGAAUCAAGGUUGAAGAAUCAAUUUCUGCAUGAAAAAAGCGAUAGCCCCUGUCUGCACACAGUUGAAGACCGGCCAACAAAGAUAACGCCUCUGCAGUUAACACAUUCACUUCCCCAAACUCUUUAUAAUAUGCAAAAAUCAGCCUCCCUUCAUGAUCACGUAACACACCACCGCUUGAAGCUAGACCAUCCACAAUACUAGCGCCCAAAUUCAGAAAACAUUGAGCGAGAAGGAACAGAAGCAACAAACCUAGCCAAAGCACAAUCACUAUCAUUUACAAAUGUCGACUUGAUAAAGAUCCUAGCAGCACCCAUUUUAUCCAAGAAACGUGCCUAAUUUCUCCCCUUCCAGAGGCACCAAAGAAUCAAAAGAGGAAUAAUGAAGCGUAUGUGACAACUAUUGACUUUCGGACCUGAAAAAGUCCAUGCCGAAAGCAUUCCAGGAAUACUAGUUACAUGGAACUCCAGGAUCCCAAACAUCCAAGCAAAGUGUCUCCACACUUCCCAUGCAACAGGGCCAACUACAAAUAGAUGAUCAACAUCCUCCACCGUCCCCUUGUAACAAGGGCAGCGAGAUGCCACAUGCAACCCCUAUGUUGUAGGAUAGAGUCCAGAGAGAUCCAUCAUCUAAGAAAGCGCCAAACAAAAAAAAAACACUUUGAGAGGCACUAACGAAUUCCACAAAUAAUCCUACCUACAAUGCCGUCUUAACAAAUCUAUUGUACUCAUGUAAAAAAGAGAAAUACCAUGCUAUAAAAUUCAUUGAAAGAGCAUCAUAUUUUAGUAUUUACUCAUCAUAAAUAGCACAACUUCAAAUUGCUUCACUGUCAAACUUUGACCAUCAAAAGCAAGCAACUUGAAAUAUGUAACAUUCCAUACUAAUUAUGUCAAAGUGCAGAAUCAUCAGCAAUAGUGGCUACCAAAGCAAGCCACAAACUAAGAUUGGCUUCAUAAGUGGAAUAGCACAUUACCAAAACCAAAAAAUCAAUAGAAACAAAAGAGCAGCGAGAUCAUGCGUGUUUCAUAUACUCUGAUUUCAAUUAUUCUACAUUUUCUGAAACUAUCAAAGCUAUCAAUUGCCUAAUGCAGAUUCCAAAUCUACUAUUUGAAACAACUAACCAACCAUAAGAAUGCUAAUCCACCAAGUCAAGUCGCAUUAUAGAUCCUGGAAUAUCUCAUCAAUAUUUACAAUCCUAAAUCACUUUAUGUGUCAUAGCCUAAUUCUUACAAAAUCCUAGAAACCAAAUCAGAGUUCUUAUGUAAAAGAGAAUUUUGUGUAACUAAACUAUUAGCCAUCUCUCAACAUACCAAGGGUUCAUUUGGGGUUGCGAUAGUUUAUUGAAAAAUAUUUUCUAAUAGAGUUUUUAAUAAAAAUACUUAUUAACUGUUUAAGCGCUUUUAAAUAUAUUGUUUGGAGACAUAAUUCAACAAAUAGUUAUUGUAUUGGAUAAUAUAUUAUUUGAAAAUUUUAAAAGUGUUUAUCUCUUUAUUUGGUUAUUUGGUUCAUAAUAGAGAAUAAAUGAUUAAAUUUGAUUUUUUAUUUUUUAAAUCAUAAAAAUUACUUUUAAAGCACCAAAUUUAAACUUUUGCUAAAAGUACUUUUAACACCAAAAGUUGUACCCCUAAUUUUGUGAGAUGAUAUUUAUCAAAUACUUUAAAAAUACUUUUAACACUUAAAAGUGCUUUUUUAUCAAAAGUACUGGAACCCCAAAUGGGACCUAAAUAAUCAUAAACCUGUCAAAGUGGAACAAACUUCAACUUUCUCUAUGUUGAAAGCAUACUUUUUGUGGGAAAGAAAUAUUUUUUGUUGACAAAUUCAAACAAAGCAAGUAAUCUAAGCCUGGUUGAAACUUAGCUUUGCUACAAAAUUUCUCUUCUUUCUUCUUUUCCUUCUCUCGGAAGAAGUUAUUCCAGAAAAUGGUGCGAUUGUUGUAAAACUAAUAAACUACUAUAGUAUGAAUAGAGAUAUUAGAGAAAGAAAUAGAGAAAGAGAGAAUGAUAUUCUUAUAUUCCAACCAAUACAAAAGUCUUCCACAAAGGAUGUCAAUGUACCUCUAUAUAUAGGUACUACAAGAGUAAAGGUACAUUAAUCCUAUUAAACACCCACUACUACAAGAAUAUGAAGAAACCUAUGAAACGGUUUCUCUAUUACAUGAAUAGAUUUAUGGAUUGUAACUUCUAUACAUAAUGUAGCCAUAAAACAUGAAUUAAUUCUCUUGGGAAUACAAAGAGACAUCCACACUUUUAGUUGUUUCAUAACACUCCCCCUUGGAUGUCCAUUACACAAAGAAUAUGGCUCGUUAAAACCUUACUAGAGAAAAACCCAUCGGGACAAAAAUCCUAGUGAAGGAAAAAGAGUACACUAUUCUUGUGUAUUAAUUUCUCCCUCUGAUGCAAACAUCAUUUGAAAUCUUUUAAUCGUCGCAUUCCAAUACUCUUCACCAAUUUCUCAAAUGUUGCAGUUGGCAAUGCCUUGGUAAAUAAAUCCAUCAAAUUAUUAUCUGAUCGGAAUUGUUGCACAUCAAUUUCAACAUUCUUUUGCAAAUCAUGAGUAAAAAAGAAUUUUGGUGAAAUAUGCUUUGUCCUAUCUCUUUUAAUAUAUCCUCCUUUCAAUUGGGCUAUACAAGCUGCAUUAUCUUCAUAUAAUAUAGUUGGAGGUUUUUCUUUUUCGGAGGAUAACCCACAACUCUUUCGAAUAUAGUGGGUCAUUGAUUUUAACCAAACACAUUCUCGACUGGCUUCAUGAAUUGCUAUUAUUUUAGCAUGAUUCGAUGAAGUGGCGGCUAAUGAUUGUUUUGUAAAUCGCCAAGAAAUGGCUGUACCUCCAUAUGUAAAUAGAUAGUCAGUCUGAGAUCUUGCUUUAUGCGGGUCAGAUAAAUACCCAGCAUCAGCAUAACCAACCAAUUCAGAUUUGGAUUUAUUUGAAUAAAAUAAACCAAAAUCAAUUGUUCCUUGGGGAUAGCGAAAAAUAUGUUUAAUACCAUUCCAAUGUCGUCUUGUGGGUGAGGAACUAAAUCUUGCUAAUAAAUUCACUGCAAAUGAUAUAUCAGGUCUUGUACAAUUAGCAAGAUACAUUAGUGCACCAAUUGCACUGAGAUAUGGUACUUCAGGACCAAGUAUCUCUUCAUUUUCCUCUCGUGGUCUAAAAGGAUCCUUAUUAGGAUCUAAUGAUCUGACGAUCAUUGGGGUACUUAAUGUAUGUGUUUUAUCCAUAUAAAAUCGCUUUAAUACCUUCCGGGUAUAAGCAGUUUGGUGAACAAAAAUUCCACCUUUCAAAUGCUCAAUUUGUAAACCAAGGCAGAAUUUUGUCUUUUCAAAAUCUUUGAUCUCAAAUUCUUUCUUCAAAUAUUCAACACUAUUUUGAAUCUCUUCAGGAGUUCCAAUCAAAUUUAGAUCAUCAACAUAUACAGCAAUUAUCACAAAAUUUGAUCCAUUUUUCUUGAUAAAAACACAUGGACAUAUUGUGAGGACUCGAAAAUUUCCUUAUUUUAUUUUAUUUUAUUUUACUGGCUUAAUUAAUUAAUUAAUUCGACUAUUUAAAAUUUAUUUAUAUGGAAAAAUGCCUCUCUUAUGUUUUUAAAGCGUUUUGUUAGAAAAUUUCUUUUCGAAAACUCAUUUAGUUCGGAACAACGAGUACACGUUUUUCGAGACUAUAUUUGAAUUGAGAGUGUAUUAAUUUUAGAAAAGUAAGAAUGAUCAAUAGUAAAUUAAGAAAAAGUCAUGAGGACUCGCAAAAAUUAUUUAUUUUUAAACUCUUGUUACGAGUUUAUUAAAAUAUUUAAUUGCUUGUUUGCCCCGAAUAUUAUUUUCUAGUCUCUUGAGAUCUAAUUACAUUGAUCUAUGACUUACUUAUAUUUUUAGAGUGGCUCCUUUCAAAAAUUAAUUUCUCGAAACCCGUUAAGUGAAAAUAGUGAAUACGCAAUUGGAGUAAAUAAUUGAUUCGAGGAUACAAUAAGUUUGAAAAAUUGGAGACUUGUACAUUAGUCUCAAAUUAGGUAUUUUUAUGUUUAAGUGCUCAAGUAUUAGUUAGUAAUACAAUCGUUAUAAGAAUUUCUUGAAAAUUAAGCGUUAUCGCGCAAAAUUGGAAGUACGCGUUUUUACGCGCGCGAUCAAUUAAGGGACUUAAGGCCUUUAUUUUUUGACCAUUAAGAGUGAAUAAUAAUAGUAUGAAUAUAAGUGCAUUAGAGGUUUAGUGCACAAGUGAAACAAACCUGAGAGGAAUUGAGCACACAACGCGCGCGUACGCGCACUAUUGAAGAGUUGACUUUUACACCAAUUCUAGCCACACAAAUGAAGCUUCCUUAGGAAGCCAAAUUGGAUCAAAACACACUCUCUUCCUCACAAAGUGGCCGGCCAUCAGCUGUAAAAAUAACCCAAGGAGUUCUUCAUUUUUCAUCUCUAAAUCUUGCACAAAUCUUCUCCAAUUCCUUCCAAAUUUCACACACACUUAGCUUAAUAUUUGGAGAUCAUCUUAAGCUACAAAAAGGGGGAGCUUUCCACGGUUUUCUUGAGCUAAGAGAGGGCCAAAAUUCUGCCCUUGUUCACCAACACAAGUAAGUGACGAUCAACCCUCAAAUUCUUGGCCUAUGGAAGUUGAUUUACACUUAUGAGCUUAGAUAUUCAUGUGGGUGGCUUGUUAUUGUUGGAAAUUUUUGAAUGUGGGCUCUAUGAACUCCCACUCUUGGAUUGAUGGCUGAUGUGAUGCUUGAUGAUGAAUCUAAUGUUGGUUUAGUGCUCAAAUUGGUAGAUUAAUGGUGCAUAGCUAGUAUAAACUUCAAGGAGUGCAUGGAUGUAAAGAUUCCAAUUCUGCCCCUGUUAUGAUCGUGCCUAUUUUUGCGGAAUUUUGAGGUUUUAAUGGCUUGUACAUGAUGUUUAUAUAUUGUAUAGAUGGUGUAUAAAGUUUCAUCAAAAAAUAUUGAGGUUUGGUUGGUCAAAUGGAUUAAUCUCGCAAAGCUAGCAAACCUGGAAAAUUUCGCCGUAAUGCUCAGACAGAUUUCUUGUUUCAUCCAUAACUCUGUGCUCCGACGUCAAAAUCAAGUGCCGUCAGUGGCAUUUGGAACUAGACAUUCUUAGCUUUCCAACGGUAUAAAAUUCACCCAUUAAUUCCACUCGAGUAUCCCGUACCAACCAUUUAAAGAUGACUGUCCUGUUUCUCCGUUUUCCUGGAACGAAGUUCAGAAGCUGCAACUUGAGGCUCGAUUUUGAGCUAGUUGUGUGUUGAAUUUCAAAAUAAUUUCUUCUGUGAAAUUAUAUUUUUAUGAAUUUAUUUGCCAACUCCACCAACCAUGCUCAAUUCCGAGUUGAAUUGAGUGAUUUGUGAUCAAAAUACGAAACCUGCCCUGUUCUUGAAAACUCUAAAUUUUGGGCAGAAUUGAUGCUAGACUUGGUGUGGACUUGCCAAUUGAGUUCUUGGAGUUAAAACACUUACGAAAUGUACCAUGAAUGUUCUCUAGGCUUUUCCUAUACAAAUGAACCAUGUUUGAAGGAUUUUCCUUGGCCAAAUGUUUGGAAAUGGAAAACAAGAAGCUCAAGGCAGUUUUGCCUUAGGAUUUUUCGAAACUUUGGUUGUUUGGUUGACUACCUUCCCGAAGGUAUUUUUCCAUGAAAUUUGAUAACAGGAUACCCUUUAUAUAGGAGUAUUAUAUUUCCAAAUUUGGUACAAAUCCGAGUCCAUUUCGCUGCUCGACUAAAUUAUCAAAGUUCAUGACUCGAGUUUGGAAAACCCUUGUUUCACAAGGGAAUUUUGGUAACUUUGAAUUGCCAUAUCUUAGUGCUCAAAACUCCGUUUCUUGUUCCGCUUAUUUUGUUGUAAACUUGGAUUGCAACUCUAAUAGAGUUCCAAAUUUCAAAGGCUAGUUCCAAUCAAGUGAAUUUUGCCGAAUUUUCAAAUUUGGCCAAAAACCAACCUAAACCUGUCUUCAAUGCCCCAGAACAGCAACUUUGAGCUAAUUUUUGGAUACCUUCCAUUUGGAAUCAUGGAAAAAUGUCUUCUAAGAACUUUUAGUACUUUCUAAGAGAUUUCGAACGGGUACCAAGUUUUUCAAUUUUGGACUUGUAAAGAGUGAGAUACGAUUUUUCAAAAAUCUCGUAUCAAAACUGAAAUUUCCGAAUCUUAAGGAAAUGGAGUUUUUCGAAUCCUCCUUAUUCCUUCGAUAUUACUUGAACGUUUUAUACUUGAUUUCAAAAAUGAAAACUCGAUUUCUCUUGUACUUUAAAACCCCCUUUUGAGCCUUAAUUCGCGAGUAAUUUAGGCUCAUUUUACCGAGAUCUUCUAAGAUUGUACAAGCGUGCAAUCUUCCUUGAUAAUUGGGGUUUAUAAGUAAUUGUUCACUAUUAAUUGCUCAGGCUUGUACGAAAACCUUCAAGAGGAUUCCACGGUGGACGCCUGAACGUCAAGUGAUAUUUCUUCUUUGUUUAUUUGGUGAGUGUCAAGUGCAUGAAUUUGUUACUAAGUCGUUAACUGUUUCUUAUCCGUUAUAUGAAUUUGAAUCUUGUGAGACGAGUGUGUACUUUACCACACUCGUCCUCUUUCAAAUGAAAUUAUAUUUGAAUUUUACUAUGUGAAUUCAUAUCCGACUUGUACGUAGUAAUGUGGAUGUGAUUCGUAUAUGUGAUUCCUAUUUGGAAUCGUCGAUUUGAGCAUUGCUCAUCGACUUAUAUUCGUAUUCGUAUUCGUAUUCGGGGGACACCCAAACUCGUUGGCUAAUUUUGCGAAUAUAUGCUAUGGCUGCAUAAGUCGAUUGGAGCGAUGUCUCAUCGACCUCUGGACGAUAGUAAGUACCACACCGAUCCGGGUGGGAGGUACCUCUCGAGUCAUCCUGGACCUAUUAACUGAACGAUAGCAAGUACCACACCGAUUUGGUGGGAGGUACCUCUCGAGUCGUCUCAGUGCCCUAGACCUUUGAACGAUAGUAAGUACCACACAGAUCCGGGUGAGAGGUACCUCUCGAAUCGUCUCAGAAUUCUAAAGCAUUCUAAGUCAAUUGGAGCGAUGUCUCAUCGACCUCUGGACGAUAGCAAGUACCACACCGAUCUGGGUGGGAGGUACCUCUCGAAUCGUCCCAAAACUAUAAACUGAAUGAUAGUAAGUACCACACCGAUUUGGGUGGGAGGUACCUCUCGAGUCGUCUCAGAAACAUACAUGGAAUACGUGAAAAGCUACGAACUCAAUUACCUACCCGAGGAACGGGGUGUCGUCCCGAAAGGGUAUUAAAAAUUGAACUUGAGCAAAAUAAGAAAUCAUUAGCUCCGGAGAGCUUCUGCAUCCUACUCAAGGGUGUUUAUUAAAAAUUGUGAAAUUCCUUGAAUGUUAUAGUUUCACUAGUGUGUAAGUGCUAUUAUUGUUGAAAUAAUUGUCUUGCAUGUUUUCUUGGCCUCACGAGCAUCCACUUACCCCGUUAGACUUACUUUCUUUAACAGGAGCUGAAAUAGAAGGAAUGAUGGAGAGGUCGACUUGAUGGCCUUUUAUUAGAAUUUUGAAUGUAUUUAUUUAGUCAACUUUUGGAAGCUGUAUAUUUUGGGAUUGUAAGAUGUUUUGGUAACUUAUGAUGUAAGAUUUAAUCGAUUAUUAAGGAAUUGACCUUCCUUUAUAUUUUUGACUUUUAGUACUGAUUGGUUAUUCUUAAGUUUCAAUUGAAUUUGUACCGAGUCCUGACGAGAGUUAGGCAGGUGUCCCGCAGACACCCUAGGGUUCGCCCUUGGGAGAAGUGGGGGCGUCACACAUAUUGGAUCAUUGGUAUAACCUUCUUUGGUCAGACAUUCAUUGAGGCGGUUAUACCACAUACGUCCAGAUUGUUUGAGCCCAUACAGAGACCUUUGUAAUUUAAUAGAAUAAAUAUUUUUAGGAUUUGAUUUGCAUGCUUCAGGUAUAUUGAAUCCUUCGGAGAUUCUCAUAUAAAUAUUAUUUUCAAGAUUUCCAUAUAAAUAUGCAGUAACGACAUCCAUUAGACGCAUAUCUAAUUUUUCAUGUACUGCAAAACUCACAAGAUAUCUAAAUGUGAUAGCAUCCACUACAGGUGAAUACGUUUCAUUAUAAUCAAAUCCAGGCCUCUGUGAAAAUCCUUGGGCUACAAGUCUUGCUUUAUACCUCACAAUUUCAUUUUUCUCAUUUCUUUUUCUCACAAAUACCCAUUUAUAUCCUACUGGCUUUACACCUUCAGAUGUUUGGACUACAAGUCCAAAAACUUUUCUUUUGGUCAGUGAGUCCAAUUCAGAUUGGAUCGCAUCUUUCCAUUUUGGCCAAUCAUUUCUACCUCGACAUUCAUCAACCGAUCUAGACUCAUGAUCCUCAUCCUCUGUCAUAAUAUCAAGUGCUACAUUAUAUGCGAAAAUACAAUCAAUAAUUAUUUCUUUUCGGUUCUAACUUUUUCUUAAAGUGACAAAAUUUAUUGAAUUUUCUAUAAUUUCAUUCUCUUCAAGAAUUGGCUCUUUAGGAGCGACCUCUUCAGGAGAUUGAAUUUUGUCACUAAUUGUUGAUUCAUCUACUCCUCUUGUCUUUCGAGGAUUUUUAUCUUUGGAACCAAGAGAUCUCCCACGCUUCAAGCGUGCUUUAGACUCAUUAGCACUUGUAAUUUGUCCUUCAGGGACAUCAAUUUUAAUCGGAGUAUUUUCAGCAGGAAUAUGUGAUUUAGUAACUCUUCUAGAGUCAUUAAAUGCAUCCGGUAAUUGAUUUGUAAUUUUUUGCAAAUGUAUAAUCCUUUGAACUUCUAGUUCACAUUCUUUAGUACGAGAAUCAAGGAAAUUCAACGAUUUUUUCCAAGUAAUUUCCUUUUUAGGUUGAUUUUUAUCUCCCCCUAAUGUCGAAAAAUGUGAUUCAUCAAAAUGGCAAUCUGCAAAUCUCGCAGUAAAUAAAUCACCUGUUAAUGGUUCCAUAUACUUAAUGAUUGAAGGUGAUUCAUAUCCGACAUAUAUCCCCAAUCUUCUUUGGGGACCCAAUUUACUACGUUGGGGCGGUGCAAUUGGGACAUAUACCGCACAACCAAAUAUUCGUAAAUGAGAAAUAUUGGGCUCAUAACCAAAAGUUAAUUGUAGGGGAGAAUAAGUAUGAUAACUUGUCGGCCUAAUUCUCACAAGUGUUGCUGCAUGUAAAAUGGCAUGUCCCCAAGCAGAUGAAGGAAGUUUAGACCUCAUUAACAAUGGUCUAGCAAUUAAUUGUAGCCGUUUAAUAAGUGAUUCGACUAGACCAUUUUGUGUGUGAACAUAAGCUACAGGAUGUUCAACUGUUAUUCCAAUGGACAUACAAUAAUCGUCAAAAGCAUGUGACGAAUAUUCACCAGCAUUAUCUAGAUGAAUUUUCUUUAUUGGAUAAUUUGGAAAUUGUGCUCGCAAUUUAAUUAUUUGAACAAGCAAUCUCGCAAACGCCAAGUUACGAGUAGAUAAUAAACAUACAUGUGACCAUCUAGUUGAUGUAUCAAUUAGCACUAUAAAAUAUCGAAAUGGUCCACAUGGUGGAUCUACAGGCCCACAUAUAUCACCAUGAAUUCGUUCUAGAAAUGCAGGGGAUUCAGUCCCAACUUUAACUUGUGAUGGUCUAAUAAUUAAUUUCCCUUGAGAACAAGCAACACAAGAGAAUUCAUUGGCUUCUAAUACUUUUUGAUUUUUAAUGAGUGGCCAUGUGAAUUCUCAAUUAUUCGUCUCAUUAUAGAUCCGGGAUGUCCGAGACGAUCAUGCCAAACCAUAAAAUCAUUAGGAAGAGUAGACUUCUGGUCUACUAGGUGAUGAAUUUCAAUUGCACUAAUUUGUGCAUAAUAUAACCCAGAAGAAAAAGAAGGUAAUUUUUCUACUACGCAUUUUUUUCCAGAAAUGAUACUUGUAAUUAAUAAAAAUUCACUAUUUGUCUCAGUCAUUGUCUCGAUAUGAUAUCCAUUUUCGCGGAUAUCUUUAAAACUCAAUAAGUUUCUUCGAAACUUGGGAGAGAAUAGUGCAUUAUUUACAAUAAUUUUAGUCCCUUCAGGAAGAAAUAUAGUGGCUCUUCCGGAGCCUUCAAUCAAUUUUGUACUACCACUAAUGGUAUUAACGUUUGUCUCUCCCAUUUUCAAAUAAGAAAAAUAUUUUUUAUUUUUCAAUAUGGUGUGCGUAGUAGCACUAUCAAUGAGACAAAUAUCAUCAUCACUAUUAUUUAAUCCCAAAUAUUUGACAUCCAUUUCUUCUUCAGGAAGAAAAUUUCAAACAAAAAUAAAUAUUAAUAAAGAUGCAAAAAUAAAUAUUCAAUGGAAAGGAAAUUACAUGAAAGAUAUAAAGCAUCAUAAAAAUAUCUAAAUAAUCAUCGAGUAUUUGUUGACAUCUUUAGGAUGCUCAAAAAAAUCAGCAACAUCGAGGUGUGUCAUAUCAGCAUCAUCACCAUCAUCAUAAUCAUUCUUUUGAUCAAUGAAAUUUGUCUCAACACCUUUGUCUUUCUUUUUCAAUGAUGCUUGAUAGAGGUCAACAAGAUGCUCAACCGUACGACAGGUACGGGAACAAUGACCUUCCAUACCACAUCGGUAGCAUUUUUCUUCAUAAACUUUCUUUUCUCCAUUUUUCUGAUCGUAGUUAUUUUUCCUCUUUUGGGAAACAUUUUGUUGUUUGUCACGGUUAAAAUUUUCACGGGGCACAAAUUUACUACGAUCACGUCCACGGCCUCCUCCACGACCACCUCUAUGGCCACGUCCACGACCUCGAUCAGAAUUUUGAAAUUGAGUCGCAUUCGAUUCAGGGAAUGGACUUGCACCAGUUGGUCGGGACUCAUGAUUUCUCAACAAUAAUUCAUUGUUUUGUUCAGCCAAGAGAAGACAUGCAAUAAGUUCAGAAUAUUUUUUAAAUCCCUUCUCUCGAUAUUGCUGCUGCAGGAGCAUGUUAGAGACAUGAAAAGUAGAAAAUGUUUUCUCUAACAUAUCUUCAUCAGUGACUUUUUCGCCACAUAAUGAUAAUUGAGAAGUGAUUCUGAAUAUGGCUGAAUUAUAUUCGUUGACAGAUUUCAAAUCUUGCAGUCGUAAGUGAAGCCAAUCAUAUCGGGUUUUUGGAAGAACGACCAACUUCAGGUGGUCGAAUCUUUCUUUCAUAUCUCGCCAAAGAAUAAGAGGAUUUUUAACAGUAAGAUACUCUAUUUUUAAUCUUCAUCUAAAUGAUGACGAAGGAAAAUCAUAGCUUUGGCACGGUCUUGGUUUUUGGAUUCAUUUUUUUCCACAACAGUAUUACCAAGACCCAUUGCCUCAAGAUGAAUUUCAACAUCUAAUACCCAUGAUAAAUAAUUUUUUUCAGAAAUAUCAAGAGGUACGAACUCUUAUUUUGUAAGAUUAGCCAUAAGAAAUUGAAAUAAGUUUUGAAUUAGAAAUUUACCUCAGAAUUUUCUUGAAGAAAUAUGGGCAGAAUUUCGACAAAAUCUUGUGCUUCACCUUUGUUCAAGGUAGAGCCUCCGUUUUCAUCUUUUGCUCAAAAAGUAGAGGUUUCAUGCUGAUAACGUGUUGUAAAACUAAUAAACUACUAUAGAAUGAAUAGAGAUAUUAGAGAAAGAAGUAGAGAAUGAGAGAAUGAUAUUCUUAUAUUCCAACCAAUACAAAAGUCUUCCACAAAGGGUGUCAAUGUACCUCUAUAUAUAGGUACUACAAGAGUAAAUGUACAUUAAUCCUAUUAAACACCCACUACUACAAGAAUAUGAAGAAACCUAUGAAACGUUUUCUCCACUACAUGAAUAGAUUUAUGGAUUGUAACUUCUAUAUAUAAUGUAGCCAUAAAACAUGAAUUAAUCCUCUUGGGAAUUCAAAAAGACAUCCACACUUUUAGUUGUUUCAUAACAGCGAUUGAAUUCUUGACCCCAUUUGGCAAAUAAGUUUUUUUGGUGUUUGUUUAAAAAUUUACUGUAAUUUACUGUAGAAGUUAUAGAAAAAAAUUUUAAGAUUUAAAACUUUUUUUCUUUUCUUUUUCUUUCUUUCUUUUUCUUUUUCUUUCCUCCCUUCUUCUUCUCCCUUACCUCACUACUCGCUGAUCACCGGUGCUAGACUCGCGAUUUGGUCACACAACUAGGGGAGAGGGACCGGGGAGGGUGGCGGGGAAGGGAGGAGAGAUGGGGAGGGGAGGAGAAAGAAGGAGAGGGAGAGGAAGAAGAGAAAAAAAAAAAAAAACCUCUGCCUCUUCCGGUACGGAGGUGGUGAUAGGUUGAGGUGGGGAAGGAAGAAGGAAAAUUUUUUUAUGUGUUUUUUAGAAUUUUGAAGUGUGUAUUUUAAAAAUUUUGAGAAGUUUUUUGAGAUUAUUGUAACUAAAGUUAUUAAAAAAAUUUAUAAGAGAAAAAUUAGGUAAAAAUUCAUUUUGCUAAACAGGGCCAAGUUUUGAUGGACUCAAAUUAAUAACAAAUUAUAAACCCCAGAAAAAUAUUCAAGAACAACGAAAGAGAGGCAAAGAGAAAAUUUUCUCAACUAUUCACGAGGCGCGGCUGCGUGGCUUUCUUUUACACAUCCUAAUAGAUGCUUCUGACACCCCUUUUACAAUUGACGCAGAGGUUACAUCUAAUACACUCCGUGUACCUUACGCACUUGCACAAUUACUAGUGCUAUACCUUAAUGGAAGUAAUCCUGUGUGACUUCGUCUAUAAAACUAACAAUGCUACUAACAUUAUUAACUAAUAAACUAAUGCCAUAUGGCCAGCAAAUAAGUCUAACCAAUAAAUUUGGUUUAAUGUUCUACAUAGCCUCCAUUAAACCAAGCUCCUCUAAUUUGGACAUACCCAACAUCUUCUUCAACUUGACAAAAGGCUCCGUCUUCAAUGCCUUGGUGAAAAUGUCGGCCACCUGCUCUUCAGUUCUGCAAUAAUUAACUUCAAUCUCCCUCUUUCGAACCAACUCACAUAUGAAGUGAUAUUUGAUGUCAAUAUGCUUGCUACGCCCAUGAAGCACUAUAUUUUUAGACAAUUCAAUUGCUGACUUACUAUCACAAUAAAUCUUUGUAGGAUCAACCUGCUUGUGUUGUAGAACACCAAGUAUGCGAUGUAACCACAAAGCCUGAGUAGCACUGUUAGGAGCUGUAAUAUAUUCCGCCUCCGCUGUAAACAAUGCAAUCACCUGGUGUUUCUUCGAACUCCAAAAAACCACGCCAGAACCAAUAAAAAAUGCAUAACCUGAAGUACUCUUCCUUUCUACUUAUCACCUGCCCAAUCACUAUCUGUAUAGCCACACAAUUCAACUGGAUCAUUUUUUGAAUAAAAAAUGCCAUCACUACGAGUACCUCCAAUAUACCUCAAAAUCCUCUUGGCUGCCUGUAAGUGUGGCUAACGUGGAUUUUCCAUGAACCUGCUAAUAAGACCAACAGCAAAAUUGCUAUCUGGUUUUGUAGACGUCAAAUAUCUCAAACUCCCUACCAAACUUUUAAAGUAUGUGGGAUUUACAUAUCCACCACCGCCUUCCAUGGUUAACCUCAAUUUUUCUUCAACUGGUGUCAAAAUUGGUUUUGUUGCAUCCAUCUUGAAUUUCUUUAGAAUGUCACCUGCAUAUUUCUUUUGAGAUAUAAAAAUCCCAUUGUCAGACUGAAAAACUUCAAUUCCCAAAAAAUAUAACAUGAGUCCCAUAUCUGUCAUAUCAAACUGCUUAAUCAUAGCCUCUCUGAACUCUGCAACCAUCUCUGAAUUAUUUCCUGUAAAAAUUAAAUCAUCUACGUACAAGCACACAAUAAGAAUAUCACCAUGAGCAGAAGAUUUAAUAUAUAAAGUGUGCUCAUAUGGACACCUUUGAAAACCAUGAGUCAGAAAAUAGGAAUCAACUCUUGUAUACCACGCUCUCGGGGCUUGUUUCAAUCCAUAUAAGGCUCUCUUCAAUCUAUACACCUUAUUUUCCUGACCUCUUCUAACAAAUCCUGCUGGCUGCUCCACAUACACUUCUUCAUUAAGAACUCCAUUUAGGAAGGUUGACUUGACAUCCAUUUGAUAAAUUCUCCAGUUAUUUUGAGCAGCUAGAGAAAUUAUCAUACGGACUGUGUCAAGUCUGGUAACUAGUGCAAACACUUCAAAAUAGUCAAUCCCGAGUUUCUGCUUGUAUCUCUUCACCACUAGUCUCGCCUUAUAUCUAUCAACUUCUCCACUGGGUUUAAAUUUUAUCUUGUACACCCACUUCACUCCAAUGGCUUUUUUACCAAUUGGAAGAGAUGUAAGUUCCCAGGUGUCAUUCUUCUCUAUUGCAUCAAUUUCUUCCUCUAUUGCUUUCACCCAACAAAUAUCACUGGCUGCAUCCUCAUACACAACUGGGUCACAAUCUGCAAACAAAGCAAAAUUAACAAUAACUUCGUCAGAAGGAAUAUCAUCUUGUGUAAUAACAUAAUCUUGAAGACGAGCUGGCAUCUGUCGUUGACAUUGGGGACAUCUAGUUAAUCCAGUUUGUGGACCCUGAGCAACUGAUGAUGGCUGACUAUCAUAAUUAUUCUCCUCUUGCUGAUAAUUUAGAGUCACCUAUGCUAUCUUAAGAUCUCCAGUAGACCAAUCCCAAACACCUCUUUUGUCAAAAGUCACAUCUCUACUCACUAUCACCCUUUUUGUCAUAGGAUUAUACAACUUGUAAGCUCGAGAUACUUUACUAUAACCAAUAAAUACACACUUCUUGUGAGGACUCGCACUUUUAUUCUUAAUUUCACCUAUUUUAAAAAUUAUUUGCAUUGACAUGUCAUUUAAUUUUAUCACUUUAGUAUGAACUUUACUUAAAUCAUAUUUUAUCGCUUACGUGUCAAAAUUUUUCAAAAAGUCGCACCUGAGUGAUUAAUUGGGGAUUUGAAGAAUUAAUCUCGGACUAGUAAGGGUGAGUAUUAGUGGUGUAAGAAAAACCAUCUUGGGAGAUUAGUAUAUAUGAGUAAGAAACAAGAGGGAACUAGUGAGUACAGGACGCUAUUUUGCCACUAUUCCUAGUUGCCUUUCUAAACAACAAAAAGGCCAACUUUCACUUCAUUUCCAAUCACCAACCAAACCUUCAUCUUCUCUCAUUUUCUCUCUCUUUGGCUGGCCCUUGAAGCUUCAAAAGAGGGGAAGAAAAACUCCUUCUUCAACUACAAAUCUUCCUCCAAAAUUCCCCCCAAAAAUCUUCACACCUUUGGAAGUUGUUCAAACUUGAAGAAAGGCCUUGUCUUGUGGUGGUUCUUGGUAGAUUUGGUGGUGCAAAGCUUGGACUUAACUAGGGUUGAAGAAACUUGGAAGAGGUAACUAGCUCCACUCUACUUGAUCUUUAAUUUCAUGCAAGAUUUGGUAGUAGAUGUCGGUUGCUAUGAAAGGGUAUUUGGAACCCUAAAAAUUUAGGCUAGAUGACUUGAGGAUCUUUCAUAUUUUGUUAUGGAAUCUAUGGUAGAUUUUAAUGCUAAAGGACUUGAUAUAUGUUGGUUUGUGUUUAUUGUGGAAAUCUCAUGCAUUGGAUGAAUUUUGAAUGUGAUUGGUUGAAGGACAAGAUUCCAGAAAUUUUCUCUAUGCAAUGGCCGACCUGACUAGCUAGUUUUCAGCCUUGAUUUUCGAAUUUUUUGGGUGAAAUCUAACUCAAUAACCUUUGUUAGAUAUUAAGCUAUGGAUGUGUGAGUAGGUUGAGUAAAAAUUUGGACUUAAGAAGCCAAGAGAGAGAGAUACACACUGCCCUAUUUUCUAAAAAAUUCUCGCAGGUGUGACUAACCCGUCUUAGAAAAAUAUUGAUAUCUUGGUAUAAAAAAAUUUAAAUUAAGUUCUGCUUGUGCGUUUGAAACUAGAUUCAGAGUACUUUCUAUCGUUCAAAUUUCAGAAAUUUUCUCAACUCCUAUGAAUAUUUAUGAUUUUUCAAAGUUGACUGCAAUUCAAAACCUGAUGUGCUCUUAAACUUGGUGGAGCUGUAACUUGAGGCCAAAAUUUGAUCUACUUGUGGAUUGAAUCUUACAAAAAUGUCUUCAAGACAAUUGUAUUCCUUUGAAUCUGGUUUCCAACGGUAUAAGGUUUUCAAUUUUUGGACUUACAAAACUCAAGAUUUGAUUUUUCAAGUAGUGCCUCGCAGAGCUACAUUUCUGGUUUAAAACAAAAUGUUCUUUUAAGAACUUCCAACUUUCCUUUGAGAUGGUUAGGCCGUUUUAAGUUUGAUUUCAUGUAUGGAUACAAGGUCUCUUGUGACUUUAAAUCUUCAUUUUGAAUCUUGAUUUUCAAAGGAUUUAAACCUCUCUUGAUUUAUUGUCUUAGUUGAUUAGGCAAAUGAAUUUUUCUCCUUGUGUGCUAAGUAACUUAGGGUGUACGUGAGUCAUGGUUUAAGGGGGGGAUUGGCCUAAGGUGGUUUGCAUUUAGUGAUGGUUGGUUGAUAUUGUUUCAGGUGUUCAAGAGAAUUUCGAAAGGAAUUUCAGCGUGGAACAGUAAACGGCUUGCUUGCUCGUUUGCUUUUGAUUUUGGUGAGUGUCAAGUGCAUGUCUUAUUGCACGUACACUACUUAGAUUACUUCUUGAUGAUACUUGUUGAUUGUGCUAAUUAAACUUGUUGAGGCGAGUGUAUACUUUAUCUCACUCAUCCUCUCUUGUUUGAUUUGAUAAUUUACUUGCUCGUACUUGACAAAUAUACUUGUGCUUGUGCUUGACUUGGCGUCGAUUUGAGAGCAAUCUCAUCGACUUAUACUUGAUCUUGAGGGCCUCAAAACCCAAUGGCUAGCCAUUCAACUCAAGCUAGCAAGGGUUUGGUUGAGGAGUUUGGUGAACUUUGUGCUUGUGUACUUGACUUGUUUGGAUAUACUCGAGUAAUACCAUAUCUUGUUUGACAUGCGGGCCCGGCAGGGGGUGUAACGGUGGACAGAAAUUGGUGAAAAAUGGGGUUCUACAGACUUGUUAUUUGUUUGGUUGACGGAGUGUCAAUAUUUGGAAAUCGUGGUUCAAAACGUAUCGGUGUAGCAUGAAUUGUGGAUUUAGCUCCUGAGAGCUCCUAUAUCCUUUAGUGAUUAUGCUUUUAUUUUCUCUAGUGAAUUUUACGUAAAAUAUUAUGGCUGCCCUUCUUGAUUUAUAUAUUCUUAAUGCUAAUUGUACUUGUUUGCUUGCCUGUUUUUCUUGGUUUCACUGAGCGUUAGUUCACCCCAUUAAGUUUGAUUUCCUUAACAGGAUCUUGAAGUGGAGAGAUUUGUUUGAAGACGCUGGCUUUGAUUAUAUUUUGAACUAGUUAUGGAUGUAAAUGAUUUAACUGACCUUUUGGUAGAUGUAUUUUGGGGAUGCUUGAUGUAAUUUUUGAAAUAUUAUGGUGUAGAAUUGAAGGACUUUUGAAAGAAGCGACUUCUUCUUUAUAUUAGUAUCUUCUUAGUUGAGUAGUUCUAAAUUAUAAAUUUGGCUUGUAGUGAGCCCUAGCGAGAGUUAGGCAGGCGGCCCGCCGAAACCCUAGGGUUCGCUCUAAGGAGAAGUGGGAUCGUCACACUUCUCCCCCUCAUCAUCAAGUUUUUUUCUUAAUUGAUCAGGAAUGUGGGAAUAGGCAAUACAUCCAAAAACUCUGAGAUGAUCAAAAAAUGGUUUUCUACCACUCCAAACUUCUUUAGGAGUUUUUCGGGGAACACUUCUGGUAGGACACCUGUUUAACAGAUAAAUUGCACAAGAAAUUGCCUCUGCCCAAAAAGGUUUUUGGCAUAUUUUUCACCUCAAUAUACACCUCACCAUAUCCAUAACUGUCAUAUUCUUCCUCUCUGCCACUCCAUUUUGUUGGGGAGUGUACCUGGUAAUCAACUAAUGUUGUAUCCCAUUUUUCUCAAAAAAAUCAUCACACACCAAAUAUUCCUGAUCCCUAUCUGUUCUCAAAAUUUUAAUCUAAUGCCCACUCUGCCUCUCAACAAAAGUUUUAAAAAUUUUAAAAGUGUCAAGGUAUCAGAUUUUUGUUUCAAAAAAUAUACCUAGGCUUUUCUACUAAAAUCAUCAAUAAAGAUAAUAAAAUACCUACAACCACCAUUAGAAGGAACCUCCACAAUGCAUAAAUUUGAAUGAAUAAUUUCUAAUGAUCUUCUGGCCCUCCAUGAUUUACUAGUAUGAAAAGUAUCCCUAUGUUGUUUUCCCAAAACGCAUAUAUCACAGACUCUACCAGGAUUUCUAAUAUUAGGCAAUCCACCAACCAUUCUUUUAUUUGUCAAAAAUUUCAAACUGUCAAAAUUCAAAUGACCAAAUCGCAUAUGCCACAACCAAUUACUGUCAUCUAUCACUGUACUCAAACAAGAAAAUUGGCACUACUCAAAUUUAGUGGAAAUAAGCGAUUUGAAAUCAUUGGUACACUGGCAAUCAUUCCACUAGUUUUAUCAAAAAUAGUACAAUACCAUUCCUGAUACAAAUAUCAUAUUUUUUCUCAGACAACUGGCUCAUACUCAACAAAUUUUGAUGCAACCCAGGAACAUAGAAAACAUCAGAAAUAAAAUUAGUAGAUCCAUUUUUCAGGCUAAUAGGAAU
rnacentral:lncRNA from 1 species